rnacentral:lncRNA from 1 species
UUUUUUUUUUUUGUCUUUUUCAAAUCUACUCAACCGAGCUUUGCCUCCUUGUAUUCAAGUAUCUAAUUGAUAAAUAAUGGUUAUAUCCUUGCAAUAUCAAUGCGAAACUUCAACGUGUGAUAUAUAUUAAAUCAGAAAGUCAACCCAUCUCUGUAGCAGCUAGAGAAGAUGUUUUUGGACAGGAGAUUAUUUCGUUUAAUUUUUUUGAAAAUAAAAUAUUGUAACGCUUUAUUGAUGUAAUGUAUGUGAAAUUAAAAAAAUAAUUAAAUAAUAUGUUUAUAAUGCAAGCAGAUAAAUUAUGUUCCAGUUUCCAACCCGGCCAUUUGACAGCAAUGGGAAGAAUGGAGUACCCUAAAUGAGGGCUAAAGGAACCAUCAGCCUUAGGCUGAUGGCCACCACCAAGCCUUUAAGGCUUUGGUGGGGUGGGAGGCAAGGGUUCGAACCUUGCCUCCCACCAAUUUGCCACAAUUGUGGUUCUUCAAAAAAAAAUUCAGACGGGUGCACCACGUCUAGUUCGGUGGUGAUUCUGUCCCUAUUGAUCCCCCAUAAACCCAGUUGGGUCUUCCCCGUAGUUAGAUUAGAAUAGAGUAGGAAUAGAAGUAGGCUAAAGGCUCUCAAGUCUCAACCACUAAAUCAUGACCAAAUCCAUAAAAAUUGAAGUUAGAAAACUAGAAAUAGUGGAAGCAUGGUGCAAAUUAAUUUCGUCCUUCAGAUAUUUUCUAGAAAUUCAGGAAAGUAAAAUGCAAAAUUACCCGCUAUAUAGACGGAUAAAAUUUAGGCAUUUCAUUCGUGAAAUUGCUAAUAUCAUGAAGAAAUUAAUAGAAUCCCCACCUGGAGAAAAGUCACUCGGGUAAUAUUGAAAAAUCUUUUUCAUGCAAGAUUUGACACUAGUUUCCUUCAGCAGCCAUCUGUCAUCUACCAAGUCCUAUAGAUAAUAGUCCAAGUGAAAUCUAAGGACCGUUCUUAGUAUUGAAAAAACAAAAAGCAAUUCGACUUGUUUCCGUGCAUUAUUAUUUUUUUUUAAUCCUGAAGAUGACUUUUAGCAUUGGGGUCUUUUCAAUGCAAAAUUUCUGUUUGACUUUAUAGAAAAAUAUGGGGUUGAUUCUAAUUUGCACCCUUCAACUGUACACUUAUUUCUACUUUGAUCCCUAAACUUUAAAUUGAGUCCUUAAAUUAUACCUCGACCUCCUUUUUGAUUCCUAAACUAUAAAUUGAAAUACUUAAUUUCUAAAAUAUACCACAAUUCUUACUUUCGUCUCUAAACUCCUUUCUUCUUUCUAAUUUUUAAAUUCUUUUGGUUAUAGUUGCUCCCCAUUUGUUUAGUAUUCUGCUAACGAUUGCAAUUAAAUGUGAUACAUUUUUUUUUUUAUAAUUCAGGGACUAAAGUGUUUCAGUUUAUUAUUCAGGAACCAAAAUAAGAAUCAAGAUGCAGUUAAAGAGUGCAAAAUGAAAUUAAUCCUAAAAUAAAUUAGAUGUGGAACUCUUCAUUACACGUCUCAAGUAAUAUUAUUGUUCUUUCAGAACAGACGUGUGUAGUAUGAUUUAAGAUAUUUAUGACCACUUGUUUGAAAGUCCAAAGCAAUUCCCUUUUGGUUCAAGUCAAACUUCUUCAAAUGUAAAGUCUAGCCUUUGGAUCAAGGGUUCGAAUCUUACCUCUCAUAAAAAGUCACAAUAUGUGACGGUUUUCAUUGGCCAUUUUCAAUGGAAUUUCUACUCACAUUGAAUCCUCUUCCCCUCUUUCUCGAGUAGGCUAGAUUAGGUUAUAGGAAUCCUUGCGACAAAAAAAAAAAGAAUGUAAAGUUUUUAGUAUUCUUUUUUUUUUUAGUUUCUUCGUCAUUAUCUCAGCUUUUUCCUUAGAAUUCACUUCCUUAUGAUAAGUACUGUUUAAUACAUUCAUAUCCUUUAGCUGCUUCCUUUUCUAUUUUUCUGGGCAAAAAAUAACCUUCGAAUGUAAUUUAAAAAAAAAAAAAAAGCAAAAUGACUUUCGAAUGGAUGACCAUAUCUUUCUUGACUAUAUCUUAAUUACGAAGACAUCAAGUGAAUUUUUCCAAAUAUUAUCGACCUUGUGCUAAAUUUCCUAAAGCGUUAAAACAUCCCCAGCCGUAUGAACCAUCAAUACGUAAACAAUGAAUUCUUGUUAUAUACCAAUUUAUUUUUCCUUCUCACUUAUAAAGACAAUAAGAAGCAAAAAAAAAAAAAAAAAGGCCAUAUUAAAAAAAUGAAUUUUGUCCGAAGAAGGUAAGCAGAAAUUGGGAAAUAGUCUACAAAAUCUCAGAAAUUAUAACAAACCAAAUUAAGGAAAGAAUAUUAUGGCAUGCUGCAUUUCGUUCUGACUUCUGACUUUGCCUAGAACUAUUACGUACGAUAAAUCAUAAGUCAACCAUAUUUUUACAAUUUUAUAAUGAGUUUGAGUAUUGCAAUAUUGCUCAUAAUGGUCAGCCAGCAUACUGUUUUUUUAACUCACGUAAAUCUUUGAUCACUUUGGUGAUUUUUCAACUUCGAUCUUCUCAUGCCCAUUUUAGAGUUGAAUAAUGGGUAGUAGAAGUAGAUAUGUUAGAGAUUUUGGGUUAAUCAACUUGAGUAAUGUUAGACAAAUUUUGGAUUAAGUCCAAGAUGCGAUUCGUGACGCAUGUCAGUUUGAACAGAAAUCUUUUUCAUGACCACAAUUUCCUAAUUAAAUACAAUCCUCGGGCAGCCCUGUGUCGGAGGGGAUUAGUCGUGUUCGGUGUGGAGUGAGGCCUCCUUUUCCGGGCCGUAGGGAAUUAGUUGGUCCCUAUAAGAAUUGACCCGGACACCCUGUGUCGACAAAAAAAAAAAUACAAUCCUCUGGCAGCCUCCUCCUACACGAAAAAAAAAAAAAAACAAUCUCAAUAGCCAGCUAUCCAUCUGUUCUUCUUCUUUUUUUUUUGUUUUUAAAAUAAUUUUUGGUGAUAGCAAAACCCCAUUCUCCUGUAAAGUUUGCAAAGUUGGUCUCACGUAAAUAUAGUGUAAACUGAAUGAGUUUCUGAUGUUUUUUUUCGUAUGUCUACUCUAACCCCUAAUUAUUUUCAAACCAUUCUUUUUGGAAAGAAAUGUUAAACAUUAGUUUUCCCUUUUAUCAUUUGACCCUAGCCAAAGUGCAAGUAUGUCAAUUUAUGCCUCCCAUUUUGUGAUGGAUGAUACUGCUCAAAAUGUAUAUUUAUGGAACAAUAUACAUGUAUUGUUGCUGCUUCUUAACAUUAAAACUAGUUUCCUUCCUCAUUUAAGUUCACUAGAUUGAACAUCACAAUUUUGGCUUCAAUCCUCUUCUAGCAAUUUCAUGCAAUUAGUGGAAAACGCACACCAUUAAAUUUUUAUAACUUUAAUGGCAAUCAAUUGUUUUUUUUUUAAUACCAAUAAAACUAUUGAAAACGAAAUGGUGACUGCCUCCUAUAGGCCACGAGAUGACAUCAGGUGAUUCUUUGAGCCUAUCUCUGUUUAUUGAUACAUUAAAUUUAGUUGUUGGUUGAGUUGAUCAAGACGUUACAUUUUGCUUAUCAUGCUCACGUCCCUUGGUUUCCUGAUAAUUUACUUUUGGCCACGUAAACUGGCUGGAAUGAUAAAAACACUAAUUCGAAAGAAAAAAAAAAGGAAAAAAUAUUCAGUAGAAAGGGAGUUAUUUCAGUUUUAAAAUGCAUGGAUAAGUAAGGCAUCAAUAUGCAAAGAAGGCUUAAAAGAAAUUAAAUUGUCAAGGUGAAAGGUUUUAAUGGCUUUUUUAUCUAGGCAAAUUUUCUUCUAAACUUUCAAAUUGACAAUUUAACGGAGGAGUUGUAUUUUCCGGCCAAAUGUUGAAAUUUGAUUGAUAAUUUGGCCAAACUUCAAAAGAACUCAGCGUGUAUGCAUCGUGUCAGCGCGAUAUCCAAUUUUUGAUGUUUGAAAAUGAGAAUUAGACUUUUCUUCCCCUUCGAUUAAUUUAAAGGGUUUGAUAAGAAUUUGCUCGAGUUUCGCCAAUUAGUCAAGUUUGAAUAGCUUUUUAUGUUCGACAACUUUCAAAUUUGAUAAAAACUCAUUCAAAUUCAGUUUGGCAAAUAAACGACCUAAGCUUGAACAAAAUUUCAAAUUCAUUAAAACAAUUAAAAAAAUUUAAACAUUAGGAUGUUCGUUUUGAUUGGAUUCAUUUACACCCCUAAGUUUACAUAUUAAUACAUGUAGAACCUAUGUCGUCCGAUAUAAUUAUACGCAAUUCCAUGUCCUAACUCAUCUCUAAUUAUAGGACAAGGUCAAGUAAGAGUAAAAAAAGUCAACUCAAAUGUUGGAUCAUGCAAGAGUAUCCAGCAGGGAUUUAGGGCAUCUGCAAUUAGUUAUCAAGUUUCGAUUUCAUAAUGCAAUGUAUACACUAGUACAACAAAUGUAAAUAUUAAUAUAGAAGAAGCACAAUAGAUAUGUUGACAUAUUGAAUUUUGUGUCUUACAUUUUAUGAUCCCCUUCUUCUAAUUCCAAAUCACUCCAUGAAUCACCAUUAGUUGUACUCUUAUCUUGGUUGCAAAGAAUCUGAAACCAUCUAUUGUACGUACCUGCAGGGCUUAUGCAUUGUUCAUCUGUCAACAAAGGUAUCCCAUAAAUAAAAGUGAUAAGAGUCAUUCUUAAGUUUUACAUGGUCACACUAAUAGUUCAAUUAUUUUCGAUCAUUUAAUAUUAGUCAACGAACAAAUUUGGAAAGGCAGAUUUUGUAGGCCAUGAAAUAGAGCCUCUAUUUUAGAUUUUUCCAACAACCCUGCGAAGGUCAAUGCUUUGUCCUUCUUCUUAUCUUUUAGUAUUCUAUAGGGAUAACCUUGGCGUGUAGAAGUGUGUCAAUAUGCUUAUAUUAUUAGCAUUCCCAUUCACCGUAUUUGACCUGAGAAAGUCCACAAAUUGAAAUGGCUUGCAGUUUAAUUAGGCCUCGGUUUCCUGAUGACCUUCACAAAGGGUACCUUGCAAAGGCUGCCCUUAAAGUAUUCAAUAAAUAGAACAAUACAAAUCCACAUUGAUCAAAACUAAUGUCUAGUGGUGGCACUAAGAAUUAUCGACAGGACAGAUGCCCUUUAACUUAAAUACCGAAAGAAAAUUCAGGUGGCUUUGAUUUGCUAGAUUCUUGGCCAUUUAAGCUAAUCAAUGGUAUUAGCGUAGAGAAAUAGGUCAAGGUAAUGCAUGACUAAUUGGGAGAUUGAACACCAUCAUAAUUAUCGCUAGCUACAACAAGGAUUAUUUUCUUGUUCUUCCUCUUUUGUCAUCCUGAUGCAUUUCGUGUAAGAUGCAACUUCAGGUUAGCAAUUAGUCCUGAUUACUUUUUCUCUUGAUAAAAUAUAAUAUUUCAUUCCAUGAGAUCUACACUAAUGGUAGAAAUACAUUGAAUAUAUCACAGAUACAGCUAAAUUGAAAAAUUACUAGAUAUAGCAGAUUUAGAAAAUAACAAAGAUUACACUAUGAAAUUCCGACGAAUCAGAUAAAUCAUAAGCAGCCCCAUGAAUAUCUAUGCACGUCAACACUAUCAGAUUUGCUAUCCAACUAGUUCAAACUCAAAAUUAAUGCUAAGAUCUAAUGAAAUAACUCAAAAAAAAAUCCCAGAUCUGACAUAUACAUCUAAAAAAACUGUUAGAACUAAUAAAGAAACAAAACAAAAACUCCCUCUAAGAUAUCUUUGUAGAAGAAAACUCUCGCUAGCAAUUAGUCCAGAUUACUUAUCUUCCUUCUUUUUUUUUUGUGUAAGUACUUAAUUCUUUUCAUUGAUGGCAUUUAUUGAAAUACAAGACAGACGAAUUUGUACAAAAUUCUGGCUGCAUUAUUGUCCAAUUAAUUGAUGAUAUUAAUUGAAAAUACAUGACAGAUGAGCUUGUGCAAAAUUCUGGCUGCAUUAUUGUCUAUUUACUUGGAAGGAAUGCUAAAGAGUAUCACUACACCUGUAUAUAUCACAUUAAAUAUUUGGAUGUACUAAAAAUUAAAAAAUGGACACUUCCUUAUUAUCCAACUAAACGGACUAUACACUUCCAUCCAGUCGGAGUGUAGGGAUUUUCAUGUCUCCAAUGGUUAUUUAUCAUAUUUAGGAUAAUCAUUCUACGAUUAUUAAUUAGGAAUCCAGUCAGAGUAAAUUUGAAAAUUGUUUAACUUAAAGUACGUACUGCAGUUGUUAAUCACGACAGCUUGUUGCUAAUUUAAUCCGUUAUGACUUCUGAGCCUAGGAUUGAGCUAAGGAUUUGGUACUCUUGAUUUAGAAAAGGAAAAACAAGUCUUCAUUUUGGGGUGGACAACUUAAAUAAACGUGUUUAAUUAGUAGCAAGUUGCUAAGAGAGAUUUGAGUGUAGUUUGCUUUAUAGUCAUCACCUGACUAAGUAGUUACAUUCAUUAAUCAUAAAAAAAGAAGUAAUCCAUGCAUUAAAACUAUACGCAACUGCCAAGAUGAUUUCUUUUCUUUUUAAAGUACUUACUUUUUCACGGGAUUUGGGGCCUCGCAAGUUCUCGUUCAAAUUUGUUGUGUAAAUUGGGUCUAAACUCGUACAAUUUCGAUGUAAUUGUGAUUCUUAGAUAAGCUUAUUUGUAUAAGUUACAAAUUCAGGUCUUACAUAAAAAUCAUAUUAAUUUCUACCAGAAAUUGUAAGAAUUAUACAAUCGAUUUAAACGGAACAAUAACUCAACUUGUGAGACCUGAGAUCUUUUUCAUGUGUAUUAACCUUAUAGGUAACAAAAUAGAAACCCCAUUUAAGUUCAACUCUUCUUUAGUUUCAAAAAGUACUUUCAACUCUUCUCAAACAAUUAUAUUAACAGCCUCGAGGUGCAAAUAUAAAUCCUGCCUUUUCUUUUCUCGAUCAUAGAGAAUCCAUUUACUCGGCUUUAUUUUAUGACCAUACUUUUAAUUCUUUCUCCUGGUAAUGAUAUUCGAACACUUGUUAACUUUUCACAUACUCCUACCUGCAGGAUUCUCAGGCCAAAUGACGCAUAUACAACAAGCAAAAAGUAUGGGAGAAGCUAAAAUUGUGAAUAUCAUCACUAUUUGUCUUUAUUUGGAGCACCAGCUCGUAUCAACUUUUGGAUGCAUUUCUUUUAUAAGAAUUAUAAGAUACAAUUUCUUAAACUCAAGCAAAUAGAUGCAGUAAUUUGUCUGUGGAUUGAAAAUACUGGAGGCGUUCUUGAAAUUAAGAAAUAGCAGCUUCAAAUUUCUUGAGUAAAUUGUAACUUAGCUAUAUUAAUUUAGUGCUCUGCAGGGAAGAUGUCAAUUGACUUCAUACAUUAGUGCUUUAGUUGAAAUUUUAAAAAGUAAACAAGUCUAGGCAACAAGCUGGCGAAUCCUUGGAAUUAGUUGAUGAGGUGUGAAAUUAAAAGAUUUAAUCUCAGUUUCCACUGAAUGACAACUCUUGAAAAAUGUUUUAAAGGGAUAAUUACAUUUGAUCAGGUUUGAAAUUAGCAGAUUUAAGCUCUACUUGUGACUUUUAUUUAUCUUUCCUUUUUUUUUUUGACUCUUUCUAACAAAAAGGGUAUUAUGUCAUUUAAAUAUCUCUGUUAGUUGUAUUUAUUGCUGUUAUUGAUGGGGGGACAUUGUAAUCUGGUCAAUCCUCGGGAAUUAAUUAGCAGUUUGGCCAAAUUACAGGGGAGUUAAAUAUAAUUAACCCUACUGUAAAAAAUCAAGACCUAAACAAGAAAGAUAUGAGAAACUUAUAUCUAUAUAUAUAUAUAUAUAUAUGGAUUAAUCUUCUAUACACUGACAGUGUAUACACUAUCAGUGUAGGAAAGAUUAAUCCAUAUUUCACCAUUAGAUGCAUGACACAUAAUCCGAAUUUGAAUUUGAAAUCUAAAUUAUAUAUAUGUGUCAUGUAUCCAAUUGUGAUAGUGUACAUACUAUCAAUGUAUAUAAAAUUUACUAUAUAUAUAUAUAUAGCAUUAUUGGUGACAAAAAGGGCUACAACUUUCAAUAAAUAUUUAGCUUAAAGUCACCAAUUCUAUGGCAGUCUAAAAUCUUAAAUAUUGAAAUGUCAAAUGCCUACCUAAGUUUAUGAUCUAUGCAAUCUCACUUGCUAUUUACAUAGGGUUACAUGUUGACGAAUUUAGUUGUAUUCCAAUAUUCCAACACUUGGAAAACAAAUGAUUUAGUCCGAGAGUAGAUGAUAGACCAUAUCCAUAGCACUCCCAGCUAAUAAUUAAAAAAAAAAAGCUGUUUAGUAAAUGAGUGGGAUGUUCAAUAUAAAAAAAAAAAAAAUUGUCUACUCCAAGGCUGUUCUGUCUUUUUUUCUUCCACGUUCUCUUUUCUCUCUCAUUUACCCAAUUAAUAUUUUAUUGGAUAUACCCGAGAAUCUUGACUUGCUAUAAUUUUUUAAUCAUAAUGUCAAUGUUGAUUGGUUGAAAAAAAUAUGCACAAUUUGGACUUCUUGCUACAAAGUCAAGACUAUUAAACCUAAGAAAUUUUAUAACAAAUAAAAUAAUUGAGAAUUUAAUUUCUUAUAAUAAUAUAGAUGAACAACUUUUCUUUUUAACUGUUUGACACUUUCUAAUUCGUGUGCAUAUGAUAUGUUUGAUGAAUAUACAUACAUUUGACUUUUUUUUUUAUAAGACCAAAUACAAUUUCAAUGCAAACAUCAUUUUUUUUUUUUGGUUGUGAGUGGUUAACUUAUAAGAUUAUCAAGGUAUUAUUUUGUAUUAAAGUUUUGAAGUUUUUUUUUUUUUUACAAAUUUCAAAUUAUUCUGUGGGGGAGAGAGGGUUUGAUUGGAUGGUAAUGUACGAAGGAUUAUAAGUAGGAGAUUAUGAAUUUAAAAUCUCUCACUUAUCAAAAAAAUUCUAAAUUAAAAAAAUCAUUAUGCGAAUCUAAAAAAAGAGGGGGGGAUGGGUAGGGAAAGUCUGAAGUUGGGGAUAAUAGUUCCAUUCAGUGAUCCAAUUUGGGCUUCCGUUUCUUUCGAAGUUGGUUCUCUGGUGGGGGUUGUAUGAGGCCCAAACACUUUAAUUUGUAGAGUGGAUCCCUCUUAGUGGGCCAACUUAUGUCCGUAUCACCAUAUCUGAUUUGUCCAACCAAGUCGGAGAGGAAAAUGUCAAAUUUGGCUGAUUUUUUAAAAUUGGCCAGAAAAAUGUCAAACUGACAUCAAUUUUUUUUUUAAAAAAAGUUAUUUUAAAGUCAUUAAUUUAAGAACGUUUAAUUUUUAAUUGAUCCAUCUCGACUAGGGCUGCAAACGAGCCGAGCCGAGUCGAGCUUUGAGCUAAUCGAGCCGAGCCUCGGCUAAAUUUUAUCAAGCUCGAGCUCGAGCUCGAGCUCGACGAGCUGGCAAUUUUCGAGCUCGAGCUCGACUCGAAUCAAGUCGAGCCGAGCUCGAGCUCGAGCUCGAGCUCGAAAAAAAUAAAAAAAAAAUUAUUUUAUUUUUAAAAAAAUAAAUAAAAUAAUAUUUUUUUCUGAAUAAAUAAUAAAAUAUUAAGGAUAUAUCCGUAAUUUCACUAUGAAAAUAAAAAAUAAAAAAAAGUAUAUAUAAUAUACGUAAUUUAUUAUUAAAUAAAAAAAAUAAAAAAAAAAUAUAUAUAUAUACUCAAGCUCGCGAGCCGGCUCGCGAGCUAACGAGCUUAAUAUUCUGAGCUCGAGUUCGAGCUCGAGUUUGACUCGAGCUGGCUCGAGCUCGACUCGAGCUCGAUUAAUGUCGAGCUCGACUCGAGCUUGACUCGAGCCGCUCGCGAGCGGCUCGAUUCGUUUGCAGCCCUAAUCUCGACUAGAUCGAUAGUUUCUGCUAUAGGUUCUCUCUCGUGUUGGGAUACUUUACUAAAUUUGGACAUUUAUCUCCCUCAUAAAUGUUACCUCAUUAAAAUGGAGAAAAUUUCCAUACAUGAACAUGUAAGUUUUAAACUUGGCUUGGAAUAGAAGAGAUUAGAACUGGAUGUGGCUUCUAUUGACUUACUCCAAAGGUCCAAUAUACUAGGAUUGUACUGGUCAAAAGUAUUAUAAACUCCAAAAUAGUAACAUCCAUAAUGAAACUACCAAUACAUUCAAGAAUUUUAAAAAAUAACGAAAUGAUAAUGUUUUAUCAAAAUAAGAAUUUUAAAAGGGAAUUGAGUUUGGUGUAGGAAAAUAAUUUGGAUGACAACUAAGAAAUAUCAAGGUAAUUGAGAAUGAUGAUAAAUUGCUUUUAUUAUGCUUAUUUAACUAGGAAAAAAUUUAUAGUUAUCUUAGUAGGAGAAAAAAAUAAUUUAUAAUUUCCUACAAAAUUAUGUGAUCUUUGUAGGAUAAAACAAGGUAGGAAAUGAAGGAAAAUAAUGAGAAUUGUAUGAUAGAAAAAUCUUCAUUUCAAUAUGGUUAUUGUUUUAUUAAUAUAUUUAAGAUGUGAAACCUUCAUUUUAAUAGUGCAGUUCAACAAAAAGAAAGGGAAAAACAUGCGAAAGUCAAACAAAGAAGAAUUCAUGAAACGAAAGGAGGAAGAAAGUAGAAAUAAAUGUACAACAGCAAUGGUCAUCAAAGUAAUUAUUAGAUUGAUGACAAGUAGUGUGUUGACUGUGGCAUUUGGUUGUUCUGGCUUUGCCACUUUAGUGAAUUCCAUAAUUUUCCAUGUGGCUUGAUGAAGCCAUUCUUUUGGCACCACUACUUCACUUUUAAGUAGCAAACUAAUCAUAAAAAAAAUAUAUUAUUGGUUUUUUAAAAGUUUCUAUGCAUACUAGUGAAGGAAAUGGUUUGGAGUUGGUUGUAUACUUUAUAUGUUUUAGAAUUUCAAAUUUCUUAACGUAUGUUCGUUACUUCUUCCAAUUGUUGCUGCUACAUUUAUUCUCUUUGCAUUUAUAUCUUCUUGAGUUUCACUAAUUGUUUCCAACUUUUAAUACUUUUCAUUCUUUUACUAAUACAAUCUCAAAAGAGGUAAAAAGGGUACAAAGGAAACAACAUUAGUAUCUCACUUCUCAAAAGACAUUUCUAACGAUACUUUCUCUAAUAUGAACUCAAUUUGCUAUUAAAACAUUAAGUUCAGGGGAGCUUAAUGCUAUUUUCGAAACCUCAGAGGUGAGUGUGACCAUUAAAAACCUCAGAAGAGGUUUUUGCAAUUAUUGUGAUGCCCCGAAAAAAAAAAUUUCAAGGUGUUUUCGAAAUGUAUUUUUUAAAUUUUCUACUUUGAAUGAAUUGUAUUUCUUAGUGAUUGGAAAAUAAUUAUAAUUUUAUACCUUCUUGUUUCCGUCCAAUAAUUUUAAAAACAUUUGCAAGGGUUUAAUUGAACUAGUCAAGCUUAUUUGGAUGUGCAAACUAUAUUUGAGUGGAAAUGAAGGGUUUAUUGACAAGAUUUCAAAGAUAUUUCGAAGGGACGGAAUUACCAAUUGACAUUUGUCAAAAUUCCAUUCAACGUUUGACCAACCCAUUUUCUUUGUGAACCGAAGAAGCUACCAAUUUGUUCCAUCUUCUUCCAUUUUUCCUUCUUUGUGGCUUUCCUCUUAGGUUUUGAUGGAAAAAUAAGGUAAAAGUACUAACAACCCACCAAUCUUUGAAGAUACUUGAGUUUAUAUGAUUGUAUGUUGGAUUUGAGCCAUGGAAGUUAAGUUUUGUUGAAGACAUCUCUUGUUUCCCAAUUAUUUCUUUGCUGCCAACUUUAUUUCAGAUUUGCACUCACCACUUGAACUGCAUAUUCGUCCAUGAUAAAGGCCAAAUUAGUUCAUGUUCAAAACAUGAAAGUUGUAGGGAUUUGAGUUAGCUUUCUAACCAGAAAAUUCAGCUCAAUCGGAGCACUGUAGCUUAUGAAAUGACUAAAAUACCCCUAACUGUCCAAAUACCCUGUUUAAUUGACAACUUUUUAUUUUCUCUGAGAUUUCAAUUUUUGACCAUGAAAAUGCAUGAUUUGGCUUUAGAGGUCUUCAUAAUAAAUGUAGGCCUAUGUCUUAAUUUCGAAACACCAUAAGAUUCAUCUCAAUCCGAUAAGUGUAGAUUCAGUUGUGAUUAAAAUGCCACAAGGUGAGAGGAACUUGAUGAUUUUAGAAUUUCCUUUGCUUAAUAUGAUAUUUGUGAUCUAGUGCUUGGACUUGAGUAAGGAAACUAUCUAUAAUGGAUGAGAAUCAUAAGCUGUGGUUGGUGAGUGAUUCCAAAACUGUUUCCAAAGUUACUUUUCGAACUAUUUCUUGCACUGUUUACUCGAUUGCAUAUCAUAUGUGCUUGCGUGUAUGCCAUACAAUGAUUUGGUUCAAAUGAAUGCUUGGAAGUCUUGUGUUUAACACCAACGUCUCCACCUUAAUAACACUUGUCUUGCCUUAAAUGUUGGAGCACCGAUGGCUCCCUUGUAUUGCUUGAUUAUUACUUGAUUUAUUUGAACGUUGGAUGUUUAAGUACAAUGAUUUCACUGGCUCACAAGAGCAAUAAACUUACAUUUGAUCACUGAUUCAUGACAUCAUCUAAAUGCAUUGUUGCGAAACUUAUUUGAUUAUUGAUUUUUACUGGACACUCGUUGAGCUUCUAACUCACUCUAAAAUAUUUAUUUCCUCUCCACAGGGCUCGAGACAAAGAAAACACUUGUAUUAACUUAUUAGUGUGACUGGAUCGAAUAUCUCAUGUAUAUUUUGAAUUUCGAUUCACUUGUGGUAUGUAAAUUCGUGGAGUAUUUGAUGUAGUAUUUGAAAUUUACAUUGUAAUUUAUUCGAAAACUGUAGUGAGUCCUGGCGAGAGUUGGGUAGGCGAUCCGUCGAACCCUUUGGUUUGCCUUAACGGGAGGUAGGGUCGUCACAGUUGGUAUCAGACUUAGAUUUCAGAUCUCUGUAGUGUAUCUUAGGCUAAAAGUUUAGGAUGUCAGACUGUGGGAUUUGUUUAAAAGUUAAGUGACUGCUUGUAGCGAUGAAAAUCAGAUAAGUGGGAUUAAAGUGACUCUUAGUACUUGAUUGACUUUCGAGAACUAUCUUGACCUAAUUAGUACGAGUUGGAAUGUCGAGAACAACAUUCUCUCAAGGGGGAGUGAUUGUGAUGCCCAAAAAAAAAAAUUCAAGGUGUUUUCGAAAUGUAUUUUUUUUUUAAUUUUCUACUUUGAAUGAAUUGUAUUUCUCAGUGAUUGGAAAAUGAUUUAUAUAUGAUUUUAUACCUUCUUGUUUCCGUCCAAUAAUUUUAAAAACAUUUGCAAGGAUUUAAUUAAACUAGUCAAGUUUAUUUGGAUGUGCAAACUAUAUUUGAGUGGAAAUGAAAGGUUUAUUGGCAAGAUUUCAAAGAUAUUUUGAAGGGAAGGAAUUACCAAUUGACAUUUGUCAAAAUUCCAUUCAAGGCUUGACCAACCCAUUUUCUUUAUGAACCAAAGAAGCUACCAAUUUGUUCCAUCUUCUUCCAUUUUUCCUUCUUUGUGGCUUUCUUCUUAGGUUUUGAUGAAAAAAUAAGGUAAAAGUACUAGCAACCCACUAAUAUUUGAAGAUACUUGAGUUUAUAUGAUUAUAUGUUGGAUUUGAGUCAUGGAAGUUAAGUUUUGUUGAAGACAUCUCUUGUUUCCCAAUUAUUUCUUUGCUACCAACUUUAUUCCAGAUUUGCACUCACCACUUGAACUGCAUAUUCGCCCAUGAUAAAGGCCAAAUCAGCUCCUGCUCAAAACAUGAAAAUUGUAGGGAUUUGAGUUAGUUUUCUACCCAGAAAAUUCAGCUCAAUCGAAAUACUGUAACUUGUGAAAUGACUAAAAUAACCCUGACUGGUCAAAUUCCCUGUUUAACCGACAGUUUUCUGUUUUCUCUGAGAUUUUAAUUUUUUAUCAUGAAAAUAUAUGAUUUGGCUUUGGAGGUCUUCAUAAUAAAUACAGGCCUAUGUCUUAGUUUCGAAACGCCAAAAGAUUCAUCUCAAUUCGAUAAGUGUAGAUUCAGUUGUGAUUAAAAUGCCACAAGGUGAGAGGAGCUUGAUGAUUUUAGAAUUUUCUUUGCUUGAUAUGAUAUUUGUGAUCUAGAGCUUGGACUUGAGUAAGGAAACUAUCUAUGAUGGAUGAGAAUCAUGAGCUGUGGUUGGUGAGUGAUUCCAAAACUGUUUCCAAAGUUACUUUUCGAACUAUUUCUUGCACUGUUUACUCGAUUGCAUAUCAUGUGUGCUUGCGUGUGUGCCAUGCAAUGAUUUGGCUCAAAUGAGUGUUUGGAAGUUUUGUACAUAAAACCAACGUCUCCACCUUAAUAACACUUGUCUUGCGUUGAAUGUUGGAUCACCGAUGGCUCCCUUGUAUUGCUUGAUUGUUACUUGAUUUAUUUAAGCGUUGGAUGUUUAAGUACAAUGAUUUCACUGGCUCACAAGAGCAAUAAACUUACAUUUGAUCACUGAUUCAUGACAUUAUCUAAAUUCACUAUUGCGAAACUUAUUUGAUUAUUGAUUUUUACUUGACAUUCGCUGAGCUUUUAGCUCACCUCAAAAUAUUUGUUUCCUCUCUACAUGGUUCGAAGCAAAGGAAGUACUUGUAUUAACUUAUUAGCGUGACUGGAUGGAAUAUCUCAUGUAUAUUUUGAAUUUCGAUUCACUUGUGGUAUGUAAAUUCGUGGAGUAUUUUUGAUGUAGUAUUUGAGAUUUACAUUAUAAUUUAUUUGAGAACUGUAGUGAGUCCUGACGAGAGUUAGACAGGCGGUUCGCCGAACCCUUUGGUUAGCCUUAGAGGGAGGUGAGGUCGUCACAAUUAUCCCAUACGUUAAAGAGUCCAAAUUGGUCUACUUUGGCUGACGAGUAUUUAGUGUGCUCGCAUGAAGCUAGACACACUGCAGGUCCUUAGGCCUUGGUGUAUUCCUUAAAGCAUUAGAUUAUUAGGCAUUAGCUACUUUAUCAGCUUAAUCCAUCUCCAAAGAGGGAAAAAGAAACUUGUUAUUGUUGUGGUGCUUGUGUGUUGAACUACAGUAAUACACAUUUAAGACGGGAUUAUGAUAUGUGAUAAGAUAAUGUUAGCACUUGACACAGAACCAUCGUUAUUAAAUCUGGCGAAAGGAUCGGGUUAACGAGUCACUGGUUGAAUCGAUAAAUUCUAAUUUAAUAUUUAAAAUUAUAAAAUAGUAAUUUUAAUAUACGUAAUAUAUCUAAUGAAGUGCUUUUAGAUACUAAUUAUUCGACUUAAAAAGAUAAAUAAUGAAUAUAUAAAUAUUCGUUAUACGUCAAAUUGUGUUUUUACUUGCGUACAAUAUAGGGUUGACGGGAUUUUUAUAUUAAUACAAGUUUAAAACCGAUUUUUAUACCCGUUAAACUGCAAGUAUACAUGCCAAAAUUGUAAUGUAGGGUAUGUAACGGGUCGAUCCCACAAGAAGCAAAUUAACCAAUUACUAGGUCCUUGUUUUCUCUAUUAUUUAGACUUAUGAAUAAAUUUGAGUAGAGAAAGUAUAUUGCUAUUGUCUACAAAUCUGAUCUAUAAAUUUAAUUUAACAAAUGCUAAAUGCAAUUGGAGAAAUUUUACUCAAGGAUGAAUCUAAGGAUGUAGAUUCCACUUAUGGCAUAAACAACACAAAUAAACAGAUUUACCUCUUGUUAUUAUUUUUGUUUAACCAGCGAUUCAUUUUCAAUUUUACCAAGUCUCAUUUUCAUGAUAAAAUAGCCUAAAGCAGUCCAGUUUUUCCUAUUUUCAUGGUGAAAUACCAGUUAUACUCUGUUUUUCUUCAUGAAAUGCUAGAUAAUCCACUUAAGUGUAUCUAUAUUUUCAUGAACACACAACUCAAGCUCUACUCAUGUUUUUCCAUUGUUACUACCAAUUCUCAUUGAAUAAUAACAACUAUAAACAUGCUAUUGGUGAUCAAACAAUAACAAACAAUUACAACAACACAAAAUAGACAAGUCAAUACAACAUACAACAAGUGUAAAUAACAUUCAAUUUAUAUCAUUUAACCAUAAGUUUCAUCUACUCCCUAGAUAAAGAAGUUUAACUACUCAUGAAUGAUAUAACAAUCAAACUCACAAGUUUAUUCAUGCAAAACAUCAUAAAAUAUAAGUACAAGAAAGAUAAAAGAAAGCUUAGGCCAUUGAUGGUGAAACCCUCAAAUUUCUGCUAUGUUCUUGUACAAAAUGAUUACAAGUGAAAACUUCAAAUGCUUCCUCAAGAACUCCUAACUAGAGAGCAACCCGUUGCAAGAAGAAAAACUAGCUACAUAUGCUCUGCCCUAGCUUCUCCCUUGAGUUUCUGCAUAAAAUGUGGUAGAAAGGCACUUUUUUUCUUCUUCAUGAUUUUAAUCACUCAGAUUUUGUAAAGGAAAUCAAAAGAUAUGUUGUUUUGACUUGUUAAUAACUCAUUUUAUCUUCUCUUUUGUUGCAGAAGCAUGUACCACAGAAUUCUCUCUCCCAAGAUAGCUGAAAAGUUGUGUAAACGGUGAGAAAAAACGGUUGUGCCACUUGCAGAAGAGAAAGGCAAAUCCGAGCCUCGAAUCCGAGGAGUGGAGAACGAUCCGAGGCCUUUCUCUUAUAGAUCCGAGGUCGGAUCGUUUGACCUCGGAUGCACUGCUCCAGAAAUACAGACGAGGGCUCGAAUCUCCAUCUGUUCACACAGAUCUGAGCUCAGAACUGUGCUGAUUGAUUUCCAAUUUUUUUUUUACUUCUCUUCUUUUUUCUUCAUUUUUGCUCCUAGUAUCCUUGUACUUUAUCCUCCAGAUGAUCCUUAUAUUUUUUUCGUCAUCUCGUACAUGAAUUUCAUAUAUCAAUAUCCUUCACAUUUUCACAAAAUUAACAGUUAAUCCACUCAUUUAUCAAAUUUUGAAUACUUAAAUAAUAUUUAAGCAAUUAUCACCAAAAAAGUUCAAAUAUGAUUUUAAUCUUCUCAAAACAUACCAAAAGUUCAUGCCAAACUUGUACAAAAUGUAUGUUAAAUAUUCACUUAUCAAAUUCCCCCACACUUGAAUCAUUGCUUGUCCUCAAGCAAUUCACACAAAACUUACUACAAUGAUUCAAAAGAUAGAACAAUAUACAUAUUUUGUCAAAUUUAAUUUCUCAAAACCUAGAAACAAAUCAUUAUACCAUUUCUCAGAUUACACUAAAUACUCAUUAUAUUCAGUUAAAGAAAAAUAAUUAUGCCUUAAUUUUAACAAAUUUAACUCAAUCUCUCAUUCUAUCCUAAUUCCACAAAUAAGUAAAUCACAUAAUCAAUUCUAUGGCCUUCCUCAUCCUAUAACCAUCAAAAUUCAACAAUUAAGAGGGAUUUAUUCACACUUCAUUUUACUUAAAUAGUGAAAACGUUUUUUUAUGCGAAAAUUGAUACUUUUAGGUGAAAAUUUUCGGUUACUCAACAUUUCACUUAUUCAAAUUGCUAAACAUACUCUUAAUUUCAAUACCUUUUUACGCGAAUGUUGACAUUUGUAAAUUUCAACCCUCGGUUACUCAGUAUGUGAAUCAUUGGAGUAGAAAAUUAAUAAUAUAUAUAUAUAUAUUUAACAUAACAUAAAUAUGUUUUCUUUUCCCUCCGAACAUAAUUAAAAGAUGAAUCUGGCCUUGUCUAGACUAUAUCAAUCACUUAUUUAUAAAAUUAAGUAAAAAUGAGAAAUAUCAUUAAACAUGUAAAAUUCUAAGCAUAAAUUUUCUUAUUUAGCUGAAUAUAUUUUCUAAAAUGUAAAAAUCCUAAUUGCAUAAUCACUAGUUUCAAGCCAAUGAGGACUAAACCUUCUAAAAAUACAUAUAACAUUUUAUCCAAUGGAAGAAUUAGGCACUUAAAAUUGAACAUUUUGGCCAUUUAUUGCAAAAGUGGAAUGAAAUAUUGAAAGAUAUUUUAAAAAAAUUUUGACAGAAUUUUUCCAUAUAAAUGGACAAAACUCCCUGUCAAUAGCCUCAAUUUCAAGAAAAUUAAUCUCAUGACAAUAUUUUCAAAUAUGAUUCCAAUAUUUUCAAACCAUAAUCAAUUAAAAUCAUGCACUUCAAGAUACAAUCACCCAUAAGAUAAAAUAAUCAUUCCCCCACACUUAAAAUUGACAAUGUCCUCAUUGUAGAGGAAGGUAAAGAAACUAAUACUCCCCUCAAAAGAAGUAGUGAUGCAAUUUGAAACCACGAUCAUUACGAUUAUCCAAAUUCUACUAGCCAAAUUCUGUAGGAAGGAAAAAAUAUAUAUGCAUAGAGAGUGAGACCAUUCCAAAAGUUUUAAGAAAAACAGAAAAAUAACAAAAAGUUAACACCAAAUCGAAAAUAAAGGAUGAAAAACUAAAUAAAAGCCGAAAAUAGGUUAAUGUAUACAGAAGGGACGCCAAGCUCAGUCGCUUCAGUACUGUCGCUCUACUCAGGAGCUUCAGUGCCGCCAACCUCCUCACGAGCUUCAGUCUUUUCAUCGGCCCUUGGCUUAGAAAUCGGUGUAAGGGAGCAGCGAAUGUGAAAAUGAUCCUCGAUCGCACAAAGACGGCGAUCAUGCCUGUCUAGUCGCUCCGUCAUUAGCCGCUCCGUUUGAUCGAUGCACUCCAUUACCCUCGUCUCCAUGCAACAUAUGGCAUUGAGGACCUCUUGCCACUUGGAUCGCGACGGAGGGAGUGGUCGUGGAAUGGGAGGAGGAAGAGCCUGCUGUGCAUCCGUUUCUUGAAUUCCCUAUUCUGGCUCAAUGUGAGGUGGGGUCUGAACUGAGAUCGAACCUUCUCCAACAUUCCACACCAAAGAAGCUCCAAAGUCCGUGAGUAUACCCAAAGAUUUGAGUAUCGAGGCAUUGACCUCCUCGGCGGCUCUAGUGGCAAUAGCUCGUUCGGUUCCAAGAGGAAUCUCGAGCUUCUCAAAAAGAAGGGACAGAAGGCGAGGGAACCCAAAACAGGUUUCGCCGGCCCUCAUGCGAGCUGUAGUUCGCAUGUAAUUGAUGAUGAUACUGGUCAGAGGAAUACCAGUCAUCUUAUCCAAGAAAUAUAAAUCACUAUUUUGGAGCUCCCUUUUUUCACUCAUUUUCGGUACCACAUUAAAGACGAAGAGAUAGAAAAUCAGGUGGUACCUAUGCUCGAAGGAGUCGGCGUAUACGGUGAGUUUUUUCAAACUUCGUCGCUCACGGUACUGACCCUUAAGACGUGUCACAGCUUCUCCCACUUGCCAUGGAUCACGUGUCUUAAACUCCUUGGUCAACUUUACACCCACUCCUUCAUUCUUGAGUUUGACAAAUCGGGCAAUGGUGUUCCGGUGGAUGGUCACUCUCUUGCCUCGAACCCAAGAGACAAUUAAAUUGGCACUAUGUCCAUGUCUAUCCUCAACAUUGGCGUAGAACUCGUAGACCAAGUUGGGGUAGUAAUGCCGCGGUAAUCCAAAUAUGUUCUUCCAUCCAAGUUGCUUGAAUGCCGUGGAAAUCUUGUAAUGAUUGUCCAUCUCAAGUGCUAAGUACUUCUCAAUGAUAAUCUCCUUGUCUAGGCCUGCUUCAUACCACUGUUGAUUCUCGAGCGACUUGAAUCUAGUGGUGUCAUAAUCUGGAGGUGGCUUCUCGCGGCUAGUAGACGCGGUUUCUCGGCGAGAGCGAGGUGGGGACUCAGGUGAGGGAGAUUUCUCAAUUGAUGACUCCUCGUUUGACGGAGUACGUUCCUCUCUCGAAGACGGCGAAGGAGUGCGAAUACAAGAUCAUCUUGUGCGAGCCAUGGUUCCUAUAUCAAAAACAAGAUAAAUGCAAAUUAGAAGCAAUAUAAACCGUACCAAACAUGUUGGAAAGUGAUUUAAGAAAAUUUCGACAGAGUUUCCCCUAUAAAAGGAAAAAACUCCCUUCCAACCAUCAACAAAUUCAAGACCAUAUCAUACUUAAUCAAUUCUCAAACUUAAUUGCAACAUAUAUAAUAUCACCGUCAAUCCAACAAUCGCCUCACAUGGCUUGAAAAAAAAUCCACUCACCACUCCAUCUCUUUAAAUUUCAAACAAUAAGAAAAACGUAAUGACUAGAAAUACUAUAGGCUUGUAAAGUCAUUGGGUACACAAUCAAGAUUGGAAAGCCAUAUGAAAGUCACGUUUUACUGCUCUUGGUAAUAUCAUCUGCAAUUUCAACCAUUUCACAUUUUCGCCCAAAAGAAUUCAUACCAAGUUAUGCAAAUAAUCAAAUGUUAUCCUAUAAGUGGCAUAAAAAUAAUCUUCACUUCUUAAAAACAAGCCAAACUUAGCCAAAGAAACAAGAAAUUGCAAGCAAAAAGUACAAUAUGCCUGAGCCUAAAAUGUGAGAAAAAUUCUUCAAAAAUGUCAUUGAAUUAACAAUUUUCUCAAUUCCAAACAUAUAAGCAUUUUUAAUGACCUAUAAUAGCACCAUGUGACACAAUUAUAAAGAGAGAAUUCAGCAUAUAUGCAUUUCCCAAUUAUAGAAAAAUCGAAAAAAAUAUUAAGAAUUAGAAAAUGUAAAAUGUUGAAUAAAAUUGAAAAUUCUUACCUCAAGUAUGUAGAGUGAUGCUAGAGGAUGAUAAUUGUGCAAAAAUGAUGAAGAAAACAAUUCAAAUUCAUCCUCAAAUUUUAGAAUUUCAGUUCGGCCCUAUUUCCCGUUUUGAAAAUCAAAACCCACCAAAUUGAUGUUUUUGCUUCGAAAUUGUUGAGGGUUUAUGUUUACAAGAGUCUUUGGGAUGUUUUUGUGGUGAAAGAUUAGCGGAUUAAUGGAGAAAAUAAGAUAUUAGAGAAGAGGGUUUAGGUUUUCGGUGAAAUAGGAAUAGGAGAAUAGGAAAAGUGCAGAACCGAGACUGAAGUCUCAGUUCUGCCCAUAUCGCGAACUGAUCCGAGGUCGUAUCGGUUCUGGAAUCCCUCAGAUCCGAUAGGACUCGGAUCAGCUACUCCAGAAGUUCAGCCGAGCCCUCGGAUCCCCUAUUUUCGCUUUUGAUCUUCAACGGAUCCGAGCUCGGAUCAGCACAAUUCUGCACUAAUUGCAGAAACUGCAAUUUUGUUAAACUUUUUCUCCCUUUUCCGGUCAAUUUCAAAUUACACAUAGGACAAACUUUUUAUCAAAUCCAACCUCCUACGCAAGUGUAAUAUACCAUAAAUACAAUAUCCAACCUCUUAAAACACAUCAAACACAUCUACAUUGCAAAUCGAGGGGUGGGGUUCUUUGAUCAUUUUUGCACUUUUACACCAAAAUGGUACCUUUAGGCAUAAAUGCACAUCAAAUGAGUCCAUGAGUAUUUUAUAAACAUGUUACCACCGAAACUCACUUGAAUAUACUGGAAAUGCACACUGUAUAUAUGAAUGAGAAUUCUAAACACUUAAAAUACAAUUUGGUAAAAAAACCUCCUUUUUUACACUUGUUUUUCAAAUGCACCACCAAGAUGGAUGUUAAAACUCCGGUACCUCCUACAAAUAAGUGAAAUACAUCUAAUUAGUCAAUUAAACCACACCAAAAUUUAAGAAACACUUAAAAUACACAACUACAAUAUUAUUAUUGGAUUGCCUCCCAACAAGCGUUUUGUUUAAAGUCGUUAAGCUCGACUCUCCUGUAGCUUCUUUAAUUCUCCAUUGUGUUUCCUAAGGAGUAAAUCACUCCUUUAGGAACCCUUUCUCCGGUCAAAUAAGGCUUCAAUUCUUGACCGUUCACUUUGAAUGGGGCACCAUUUUUUCCUUUUAUUUCCACUGCUCCAUAAGGAAACGUGCGAGCCAUUUCAAAUGGCCCGAACCAUCGAGACUUAAGUUUUUCCGGGAAUAAUUUAAGUUUUGAGUUAAACAAUAACACCUUCUGCCCUUCUUCAAAAUGCUUAGGAAGAAUAUGUUUGUCAUGCCAGAAUUUUACUUUUUCUUUGUAAAUCUUGGCAUUCUCAUACGAGGUCAAUCGCAAUUCUUCCAAUUCGCUCAACUCGAGCAUUCUCUUUUCACCUGUAGAUUUAAAAUCAAAAUUAAUAGUCUUAAUAGCCCAAUAAGCUCUAUGUUCUAUUUCUACAAGUAAAUGACACUUUUUUUUUUUAUAAACAAGCUUAUAUGGAGACAUUUCCAACGGCGUUUUAAAUACCGUUCUAUACGCCCACAAAGCAUUUUCAAGCUUAUUUGACCAAUCCUUUCUCGAUCGGUUGACAGUUUUCUCCAAAAUAAUUUUAAUUUUCCGGUUGGCCAACUCCGCUUGACAUUGGCUUGAGGAUGAUAGGGAAGUAUCAAUAAUUUUAUUGUAAAAAUGCUUACCUUCAUUGCUUAUUAUUGCCUUUGGGACUCCAAACCUACAAAAUAUAUUCCGUUUAAGAAAUUUAAUAACAACUUUAGCAUCAUUAGUUUGUGAAGGAACGGCCUCCACCCAUUUAGAAAUAUAAUCAACUGCUAAAAGGAUGUACUUAUUAUUCUAUGAUGUAGGAAAUGGUUCCAUAAAAUCAAUACCCCAAACGUCAAAUAACUCAACUUCCAAAUAUGUAGUUAGAGGCAUUUCAUUCUUUCUUAAGAUAUUGCCAGUUCUUUGACAUUGAUCACAGCUUUUAACCCAAUUCUAACAUUUCGGUACAUAGUAGGCCAAUAAAAUUCAGAUUGUCAAAUCUUUGCUACGGUCUUAGUUGUACUAAAAUAACCUCCCGUUUCAAGGAUAUGACAAUGCAAUAAAAUACUAUGUACAUCUUUUUCCGGAACACAUUUUCUAAUUAUUUCAUCUGCACAAUGUUUGUAAAAGAAUGGUUCUUCCCAAAAAUAAUGUUUAGCGUCAUUUAAGAAUUUUUUCCUUUGAUGAGAAUUCAAAUCAUUUGGUAUCACUUCACUAACUACAAAGUUAACUAGAUCAGUAUACCAUGGAGACUUAUAAAUUUCCAUUAAAAACUCAUUUGAAAAUUCUUUUUUAAUGGAUGAAUGGUCUUCUUGAGGCAUGUUCUCCAGUCUAGAAAGAUGAUCAGUGACCAAGUUCUCGGAUCCUUUUUUAUCUUUGAUCUCCAAAUCAAAUUCCUGCAAUAAUAAAAUCCAUCGAAUUAGUCAAGAUUUUGCAUCUUUUUUAUUUAAGAGAUAUUUGAGUGCUGCAUAGUCGGUAUAAAUGAUAACUUUAGAUCCUACUAAGUACGAUCUAAACUUAUUCAAUGCAAAAAUCACUGCUAGCAACUCCUUCUCUGUUGUUGCAUAGUUGACUUGGGGUUCAUUUAGCAUUUUACUUAUAUAAUAAAUGGCAUAAAAUCGCUUAUCAUGUUUUUGUCCAAGAACAGCUCCAACUGCAAAAUCACUCACAUCACACAUCAAUUCGAAUGGUAAGUUCCAAUCCGGUGAUACUAUUAUAGGUGCGGAGACAAGUUCCUUUUUCAACCUAUUGAAAGCAAAUAAGCACUCAUCAUUAAAGUAAAAAGGAACAUCUUUUGCAAGUAAUUCACAUAAAGGUUUAGCAAUUUUGGAGAAAUCCUUAAUAAAUCGCCGAUAAAAUCCCACAUGUUUAAGAAAGUUUCGAAUGCCUUUCACAUUGGUAAGUGGAGGCAUUCUCUCAAUAACCUCUAUCUAGGUUUGAUAUACCUCAAUACCUUGUGAAGAAAUUUUGUGGCCUAAAACAAUACCCUCACAAACCAUGAAAUGAUAUUUUUUUCAAUUGAGUACAAGGUUUGUUUCUUCACAUCUUUGCAAAAUUAGAUCUAAAUUGUUAAAAUAAUAAUCAUAAAUAGAUCCAAAUACAGAAAAGUCAUCCAUGAAAAUUUCCAUGAUUUCUCAUUAAAAUCAGAGAAAAUUGUUAUCAUGCAACGUUGGAAGGUGGCCGGUGUAUUGCACAGUCCAAAAGGCAUUUUUCGAAUUGCAAAAGUGCCGUAAAGACAAGUAAAUGUGAUUUUUUCUUGAUCUUCUUGUGCGAUGGCUAUUUGAUUAUAUCAUGAAAAAUCAUCCAAGAAAUAAUAAAAUUCAUAUCCGGCCAAUCUUUCUAUCAAUUAAUCAAGAAAAGGAAGAGGGAAAUGAUCCUUUCUAGUGGCUGUAUUCAGUUUUUUAUAAUCUAUACAAACUCGCCACCCAACCACAACUUUAGAGGGAAUCAUUUUAUCAUUUUUACCACGUACUAUGGUUAUCCCCCCCUUUUUUGGUACUACAUGAAUAGAAGAAAUUCAAACACUAUCAGAAAUUAAAAAAAUUAUACCUGCAUCCAAUCAUUUUAAGAAUCUCUACUCUUACCACUUCUUUCAUGUUUGGAUUUAACCUCCUUUGAAUUUCAACCACCGGAUUAGAAUUUUCUUCUAACAAAAUUCAGUGCAUACAAAUAGUUGGAAUGAUUCUCUUGAUAUCAGAAAUCGUCCAUCUUAUAGCCUUUAAAUGCUUCCUCAAAACACGUAAGAACUUGCCUAGUUAUUUCUCAUCUAGUGCAAAAUUUAAAAUCACCGGCAAUAUCUCUUUUUCUCUAAGAAAUGUAUAUUUGAGGUGUUUAGACAGUGGUUUAAACUCAAGCCGUGGAACUUGUUCACACGAUGGUGGAGGUAAUAUUUUGCUCAGUCAUAACUCCUCAUACGCAUUUCUCCUUUUGUAAGGAACUUGUGCCUGCAAAAAUUCAGUCAUUUCUUCAACUUGUUCCUCUUGUAAGCCUACACCAUUAAGACAAAAUUCAAGAGAAUCAUCAUCAAGAUUAACUUGACUCAUCUCUGACGCCAAUUCAUCACAUAUAUCAAUAGAAUAAACAUGGUCAGUAAAAGAGGGAUACUUCUCCACUUUACUCAAAUCAAACUCCACUUCCUCUUCACCAAUUUGGAACUUGAACUUACCACGUUUAACAUCUAUUAUUGUACCUACGGUGGCCAGAAAUGGUCUACCAAGUAUAAUAGGUACAUUGACAUCCUCCUCCAUAUCUAAAACAACAAAAUCAAUAGGAAUAAUGAAUUUCUGUACUUUAAUGAGCACAUUCUCCAAUAUGCCCAUUGGAUAUCUAAUAGACCUGUCAACCAAUUGCAAUGAAAUGUUAGUACGCUUUAAUUCUUUCAAUCCCAAUUGCCUAAUCACAAUUAAAGGUAUCAAUGAAACACUUGCACUAAGGUCACAAAGUACUUUAGAGAAUUCAACAUUACUAAUAGUGCAAGGAACUACGAAACUCCCUGGAUCUUUCAACUUUGGAGGCAAUUUAUUUUGUAUAAUGACACUACAUUCUUUUGUUAAUGCAAUUGUCUCACUAUCUACUAACUUCUUUUUCUUAGUCAUUAUAUCCUUGAGAAACUUUGCAUAUGAAGGAAUUUUCAAAAUAGCAUCAACAAAAGGAAUGUUAAUAUAUAAUUGUUUGAAAAUGUCGACAAACUUUUCAAAUUCUUUGUCAUUUCUCGAAGGAUUCAAUCUUUGAGGAAAAGGCAACGGUGGCGGAAUUGGUGUUGUAUCUCCAAUUUGUGGCUCAUUUUCUUCCACAAUUUCUUUCCCUUUAAUUUUCUUACUAUCCUCUCUUAACUCACUCAAUUGCUUGUUUUUCUCUUUUUUCACAUUCUCUCUCACUUUCAAUUACAGGCGGCUCACCUACUUCCUUACCACUAUGGAGGGUUAUAGCCUUCACAUGCUCCCUUAGAUUCACCUCAGUCUUGCUAGGUAAAUUCCCUUGGUUGUGAUUGUUAACUGCAUUUGCUAUUUGCCAUAAUUGGACAUCAACAUUCCUGUACAUAUUGAUGAGUUGGUUCAUCUUUCCCUCAAUUCUCUCAAAUCGUUGAGUAGUGGCACUGGCUAACUUUUCAAUUUUAUCAUUUGAUACAUUUGCCAGCUUCUCAAUUGUCAAUUUUCAAGUUGGUUUGGAUUCUGGAAGUGGUUGGUUUCGAUUGAAAAUUCGGUGGAUUAAUUGGUCUUUGUUGGUUCUCUUGAUCCUUCUAUCCAAAAAUUAGGUGAUUAUACCAUUCUGGAUUGUAAGUAUUAGAGUAUGAAUUAUUUUGGGGUAAACGGUUGUAAUUGUUGAGAUAUUGAACCUGUUUGCUACUAGAACACAUAGAAUCAUCAUGAUCUCCGCCGCAAGUAGUACAACAUGCAACAACUAUUCCUUGAUUAGAGUUAGAACCAAUAUGUCUAUUAAGCAGCUUAACCACAUUAUCCAUCUUUGCACUUAACAUAUUCAAGAUAUCUAUUUCAAGCAUACCUGCGGUUCUCCUUGUAUUAUCUCGUUCGUUGGCCCAUUGGUAAUUGUUAGCAGCUAUUUCUUCAAUCAAUUAUUGAGUUUCCUCGGUUGUCUUUCCCAUCAAUACUCCUUCCGUUGCCGCAUCUACAUGCGUCUUUGUUGGAUAGGUGAGACCAUUGUAAAAUGUUUGGACUACUAGCCAAUUUAGUAAACAAUGAUAAGGACAUCUUCGUUGUAAUUCCCGAUAGCGCUCCCAAGUUUCGUACAAUGUUUCUCCUUCCUGUUGAGAGAAACUAGUUAUAUCCAUUCUAAACUUAGCAGUUUUUUCAGGUGAAAAGAAUUUAUUAAAAAAAGUCUUAACUAAUUCAAUCCAAAUAGUAAAAGUGUUUGGAGGAUGAAAUUGUAACCAAACCUUAGUUUUAUCCCUUAGCCAAAAUGGAAACAAUCGAAAUUUAAUUGCAUCACCACUAACACCAUUAAACUUAAUUGUAUCACAAAUUUCAAGAAAUGUUGACAAAUGAGAAUUUGGAUCUUCGAUAGCAUUACCUCCAAUUGAGAUUGUUGUACCAUUUGAAUCAAUGAUGGUUUAAUCUCAAAAUUAUUAGCAUUUACCGUUAGCUUUGCGAUGCUAAUUUGAGAUCCUUGUGUACCCGGUAAAGCAAAAUCUUGUAGAAUUCACCUAUUUGGUUCAUUUUUCGCCAUUUAUUUCUCAAAAUGUAAUUCUAUCAAGAUUUCUUCUAUCGGUUGUCAAACCUCUUGUUCCUCUUGAUUCGAUGGAUUCCUCCUUUGUCUCCGAAGUGUCUUCUCAAUUUCUGGAUCGAAAAGUGCAACUUCCCGAUUUGAUCGGUGCAUACAUUACAAAUAAAAACAAGAGAAAUUUUUCAGUUUUAAUUGUUAUAAUCAACUAUAAACAACUUGAAUAAAAACAAUUGAAAUGUCUAAAUUAAUAGAGAUAAUUAGGCUCUAAUAUUGCUGCUCCCCGGCAACGGCGCCAAAAAUUUGACGAAAUUUUUAUAUCAAUACAAGUUUAAAACUGAUUUUAUACCCGUUAAACUACAAGUAUACAGGCCAAAAUUGUAAUGUAGGGUAUGUAUCGGGUCGAUCCCACAAGAAGCAAAUUAACCAAUUACUAGGUCCUUGUUUUCUCUAUUAUUUAGACUUAUGAAUAAAUUUGAGUAGAGAAAGUAUAUUGCUAUUGUCUACAAAUCUGAUCUAUAAAUUUAAUUUAACAAAUGCUAAAUGCAAUUAGAGAAAUUUUACUCAAGGAUGAAUUUAGGGAUGUAGAUUCCACUUAUGGCAUAAACAACACAAAUGAACAGAUUUACCUCUUGUUAUUAUUCUUGUUUAACCAGGGAUUCAUUUUCAAUUUUACCAAGUCUCAUUUUCAUGAUAAAAUGGUCUAAAACAGUCCAGUUUUUCCUAUUUUCAUGGUGAAAUACCAAUUCUACUCUGUUUUUCUUCAUGAAAUGCUAGAUAAUCCACUUAAGUGUAUCUCUAUUUUCAUGAACAUACAACUCAAGCUCUACUCAUGUUUUUCCAUUGUUACUACCAAUUCUCAUUGAAUAAUAACAACUAUAAACAUGCUAUUGGUGAUCAAACAAUAACAAGCAAUUACAAUAACACAAAAUAGACAAGUCAAUACCAGAUACAACAAGUGUAAAUCACAUUCAAUUCAUAUCAUUUUACCAUAAGUUUCAUCUACUUCCUAGAUAAAGAAGUUUAACUACUCAUGAAUGAUAUAACAAUCAAACUCACAAGUUUAUUCAUGCAAAACAUCAUAAAAUACAAGUACAAGAAAGAUAAAAGAAAGUUUAGCCAAUUGAUGGUGAAACCCUCAAAUUUCUGCUAUGUUCUUGUACAAAAUGAUUACAAGUGAAAACUCCAAAUGCUUCCCCAAUAACUCCUAACUAGAGAGCAACCCGUUGCAAGAAGAAAAACUAGCUACAUAUGCUCUGCCCUGGCUUCUUCCUUGAGUUUCUGCAUAAAAGGUGGUAGAAAGGCACUUUUUUCUUCUUCAUGAUUUUAAUCACUCAGAUUUUGUAAAGGAAGUCAAAAGAUUUAUUGUUUUGACUUGUCAAUAAUUCAUCUUGUCUUCCCUUUUGUUGCAGAAGCAUGUGCCACCGAAUUCUCUCUCCAAAGAUAGCUGGAAAGUUGUCUAAAAUGUGAGAAAAAAUGGUUGUCACUUGCAGAAGAAAGAGGCAGAUUCGAGUCUCGGAUCCGAGGAGUGGAGAACGAUCCGAGCUCGAUCAAGGUUGAUCUGAGGCCUUUCUCUUAUAGAUCCGAGGUCGGAUCGUUUGACCUCGGAUGCACUGCUCCAGAAAUACAGACGAAGGUUCGGAUCUCCAUCUGUUCACACGGAUCCGAGCUCGGAUCCGUGCUGGUUAAUUUCCAAUUUUUUUUUACUUCUCUUCCUUUUUCUUCAUUUUUACUCGGAUCCGUGCUGGUUAAUUUCCACUUUUUUUUUUACUUCUCUUCCUUUUUCUUCAUUUUUACUCCUAGUAUCCUUGUACUUUAUCCUCCAGAUGAUCCUUACAUUUUUUUCGUCAUCUCGUGCAUGAAUUUCAUAUAUCAAUAUCCUUCACAUUUUCACAAAAUUAACAGUUAAUCCACUCAUUUAUCAAAUUUUGAACAUUUAAACAAUAUUUAAGCAAUUAUCACCAAAAGAGUUCAAAUAUAGAUUUAAUCUUCUCAAAACAUACCAAAAGUUCAUGCCAAAUUUGUACAAAAUGUAUGUUAAAUAUUCACUUAUAAAGGGUUACUCGCACCAAAUCCCUUGAACUUUUAAUUCGAUGAAUUUGUCUUGCUCAACAAUUUAGAUAGGCAUUUUACACCUUAUUUAUGGUUAUCCUCAAAAUUUAGAAACGAUAAUUUCAAAAAUCUCUCCUAUAUUAUUCAUAAUAUCACUUAAUGCUCUUAAGAUUUUAGUAAUCUCACUUAUCUCUCCUAUUAGUUUGAUAGGAGAAGAUGUUUUUAUCAAAUAUCACAAAUUGACGAUACUCCCCUUGUACUCUUUAUUUAUUUAUUAUUAUUUUUUUUGGCAAAACCCCAAACCGGGGGAGGGACGCCACUCCUCAAAGCUUUAUUAGAAAUAAACCCUUGUACUCUUUAUAACUAUUCAACCAAAUAGCUCUAAAACAAGAAGAGAAAUUUUUAACCAAAAAAAUGGACCAAAAAAAAACAAACCAAAUGACCUUGCAAUAUUGGUCCAUAUUUCUUUGUGUCCUAUGGUGGUGAGGCUAACAAAGGAGGUGAUUAAAUUAGAUUUAGUCAAUGCCCCCUUGAAAAAACUUUGGUAAUUAAUUAAUAAAUUGGAGAAUUUUGUAGAAUGGAUUUAAGGAAAGCCAAACAAGUAUGUUUUGAGGUAACAUACUUUAAUCUAUAAUGCUAUUUAAGCUAUACAAAAACACUAAAAUAAUAUUUUCAUAUGUGUAGUUUACACAUACAUCCCACUUAUUGAAUAAAAUUAUAAAUCAACUAGUAUUACAAACAUUAAUCUAAAAGUGAUCUUAUGAUAAAAUAUCUAGAAACUGUUUGUGCUAUUUUUUUUCUUUACCAAAACAAUGUCUAUCAUGCUAGUUGAUAUGUUGCUUCAACUUUACUCUUUAUUAAAAUUAUGGCCCUCCAUAUUUUCACUUUUAUUUUUUAGUCUAUGUUCAAUUUUGUUUUUGUUGUGAACUUUAUAAAUAGGAUAACAUAAGGAUAGCAUUGAAAAAUUACUAUUAUGACUCUUGAUUUUCCUUGAAAAGAAGUUGAUAUCUUACCAAAAAAAAUGUCAAUUUGAGAGGGGUAAGUGAACUUUUGAAAACUUCAAGCAUGUGAAAUGAUAUUAUGAGAAACCUCAAGAUAAUUUUCUAAAAUUAUCCAAUUUAGAGUGGUAGACUUUACUUUUGAGACUCUUUCUUUUUUCUUCUUUAAUAGAUGCAGGCGCACCAAAAAGAACAAUGUAGCCAUCACAUCGUAUAAAAUGCUCUUAAACGAUCAGCUAUGCCUAUCGAAGUAAUUGGGAUGACAAAUGGGAGCAUUUCAAUUUUCAAAAAAAAAAAAAGUGCAGAAAGAAACUAGGGAUAAUUUCUAAUACCUCUCCUAAAGUUUUCAAUAAUUUCAUUCACUUCCUAUGAGAUUUGCAAAAUUACACUAAUCUCUCAUAAAGUUAAGGUUUUGAUAACAAAAUCUGUCAAAAUCAAAAAAAAUAUCAUUAAAAGAGUACUUUAAGAAAAGAGACGAAACUUUUAUUCCAUAAAUACCUCUUAUGUAUUUGUAUAAGUUGUAUUAAUAAAAUAAUUAAAAGUCAGAAAAAACUAGAACACAUAUUUUACUAUUUAAAAAAUUCACAUUUAAUACAUUAGACAACACAAAUAAGUAACAAAACUAUACUAAUGAUUACAAAAUUCAGCUAAAUAGACCAUUUAUCUCAUUUAAUAUGAGGUUUUGUACGAUUCUUGUGAUUUUGAAUAGAAAAUUUUCAAAUUUUGCCAUUCUUCCCUCUCCUAUCUCUUUCACUUCUAUGAAAUUACUUUACAACUAUCACAGUUGUAAGAGUUUCAAAGAAAAUUUUCUCAUAAAUAGUCUUUUUUUGCCUGUAUUUUCUUUCUUCUAUCAAAACCCUUCUUUUAACAUUCUAUAUAACUAAUUUCUAGUCAUUGUCAAGUUCUUUCAAUUACAAAAGGGUUAAUCACAAAAACUACCCUAAGAUUUAACUGAUUUUGUACUUUACCUCCUAACAUUAUUUUUUGUCCACCUUACCCCUUAAACCAUUAGUCAAAUUUAACAUUACGUAACGAAAAUGUCAAAAAGACAUUGUUACCCAUAACGGUUAAUUACAACAAAUACGUUUAAGGUAUAACCAUUUUGCACUUCACCUUGUAAUAUCAUUUUUCUGUUAAUUUGUCUAUUGUCCCUAAAAUCAUUAGUCAACUGUAAUAUUUUGUAUGACUCAAUACAAAUAAUUAUUAAAAAAUUAAAAUUCCUAACAUAAUAUUAAAAAUUAGUGAUAAUUUCAGAAACCUUCCCUGAACUUUCUCAAAAUAUUACUUAGCUCCUCUGACGUAUACAAAAUCUCGCUUACCUCCCCUGAAGUGAUUUUAGGAACAUAUGUCAAUGUCAGAUGGUAUGAAUUGUCAAAAUUAGCCUCAAUUCUAUAGAAAUUAUUUAGUUGCAAAAAUUAGAGAAGAACUGCAAUGUAACAGAAAGGCCUGGGAAAGAGAUGGCGCCAUUCUUCUCUCUACUUGUAGCAAAGGCACGAACUUGUGUCAGAAUGGUCAAGUCUAUAAAGGGCCUGACGUUUGUAUCUUAUUGAACCAUCCUUCUUUUCUCUCUUCUCUAAAGAACUAGAGAAAAGCUUCAACCAUAAAAGGAGAAAAUUGCUCAUCUAGAGAAUAGAUCUCCUAACAAAGGCGUGAUUUGGCAAAUUUUAUAGCAAAACAAGUAAAAAUCUUUACUUUUUGUUGUUGUAAAUGAUCAUGUAAUAAAUAAUAGGACACUAUCAGGGUUGUAAGACAAUUUGAUGCUUCAUAUACUAUGGAGUAUAAUGAUAUCCAUCGUUUAGAGGGACGUGGGGCAUGGAAGGUUGUCAGAUCAACCGUCCCUAAACAGUGUAAUUUGAAUAUUUUAUAAUUCUAUGUAAACUUCUUAUACAUUUUUACAACAGGUUGCAUCUCUGUUGUUAAGUUUUACAAGUAGUUCAUGUAGAGUUACACCUUAUUCAAAAAUUAUUACAUAAUUCCAAAUGGUUGUUACUAACAACCGUCCAAGCCUCGUAUCCCAUUUAGAGUGGUGAUUAACCUUAAUAUUUUCAUGAUCAAAAGGAAUAACAUAAAAUAUGUGAAAACUGAUUGUUUUCAUAUAACAAUGAAGAGAUGUUUUAGAGAUUUUGAGAAAUACUAGAUGAUCAAACCAUCGUAGCUAUGUUUUCUAUUUUUAUUUAAUUAAUAAUUUUGUUGUGCGUGCAAAGUAGUAUUCAGUGUAUCUAAAGUUAGAUGCUUAAUAAUAUGUGUAAUUUGAUAGGCCAGUUGAGAGUUUAGUUUUAGUUUUGAAACUUGAUCUUUAGUUUCAAUUUGAUGGGCCAAUACUAUAUUUGAUAUGCAGGGUAUGAAUAAGCUUAUACUUGAUUACAUGUAUAAUAUUGUAAAGGGGUAGUGCAUAAUUAUAUAUUUAGUAUAUUAGUUGUACCUUGUUGUUUAAAAAAAAAUCAUGGCAUAUCAAGAUAAAAGAGGUUGUUUCUUUGCCUCUUGAAGCUAUUACUUGUGAUUCUUGGUUUAUCAAGCCUGUGAAGAAAGUAUGAUGUUUUGAAACUUUGAGUUUUAGUUUGAACUUCAUAGACGGCUAGUGCAUAAUGAUAUAUCUAAUAUGAUAGCUGUACCUUACUGUUUAGGGAAAUUACAUGACUCUUAUGAAGAUAAAAAAUAUUUUUCCCCUUUUUAAAGUUAUUACUUGUAAUUCUUAUAAUAGUUGUCUAAAACUUUUCCAAUUAACACAUUGAAUGUAGGAUAGGAACUAUUGUUACACUUGAUAUUGUAGUCCAUUACAUGGGAACAAGAGUUAGAAUUUCAAAUGUUGAUCCAAAAAAUUACUACUACAUUAACUCGCUAAAAUAUGUCGUAGAAAAAGCAAUGAAUGACUUGCCUAGAAAUUUGAAUCUACUUUUGCAUAUAAAGUGUGGAAUUCCCUAGACAGUUGGUUUUAUGGACAUUAUUGAUGACAAAUCAGUCCUAGAUAUGUUCAAACUCCAUGAAAAGGAUUUUGUUAUAAACUUGUAUGUGGUUCACAUGGAUGUUUUUCGUACAACAGAGGAUAAUACCUUAGAGAACAACCAAAUUGGACAUGAACAGGAAAACUUAGGACUUCAAAACAAUCCUAUACAUGUUCAAGACAGUAAGGGUGAUAAUGAGAUAUAUGAUUCUAACUCUAAUAACUCUUGGAUGACUGAUCUGGAUAGUGACUUGGAAGAUGUUAUAGCUGAAGAUAGGGUGUCGAUUACUUCUAGUGAGCAGAGUGACAUUGACAUGUCUAAUUAUGAAGACAAUAAGGAUGGAAUUAUCGUAUUAGACUCUGAAUCUGACAAAGAGGUUGAUCCUGUGAGAGUAGUUAUGAGCUCCAAAAUAUGGACUUACAAUCCAAGAGAUGAAAUUGAAUUUGAGAAAUGGAUGUUUUUUUACCAAUGUGGAUGUUUUCACGACAGCUUUGAAGGAUUAUGUAAUUCAAAAAAUAUUUCCAUUGGUGAGAUUAAAAAAUGAAAAGAGUAGAUACACUGCCAAGUGUGGUACUCAGGGUUGUAAUUGGAGGAUUCAUGCAUCCCCAGUUGCUGAUACAACUAUAUUCAUGAUUAAAACAUAUAAUCCUGAGCAUACUUCUGUUAUGAAUGGAAAAAAUGCAGAGGCAACCUCUGAUUGGAUUGCAAAGAAACUAAUAUAUGUAAUGAGAGGCCAUCCAAAGAUGACAAGCAAGGGAAUAAUUGUUGAAAUGAUAAAGUAUGGAGUUCAUCCAAGUAGAAUGCAAAUCUAUAGGGCAAAAAAGAAAGCAUUGGAAGAGAUAGAAGGGUCACAUGUUGAGGCAUAUGGAAAGUUACCAAAGUAUGCUGAACUUUUGAGGAUUAACAAUCGAGGUAGCAUCAUAAAAAUACAUUAUAACAGACCUAAUCUUCUCGUGGAACCCAGAUUCUUGGGCUUGUUCAUAAGUUUCGAGGCACAGAGAGUAGGGACAGGUGUCAGAUCAACCAUCCCUAAAUAGUGUAACAUUUUUUGAUUGUUUUGUAAUUCUAUAUAAACUUCUUGUACAUCUUUACAAUAGAGGUGUAAUAUUUUGUUACUAUUCUUAUGGGUCCAAUAUGUAAUAAUUGUAUUUCUGUUGUUAAGUUUUACAAGUAUUUCACGUAGAGUUACACAUUAUUCAAAAAAUAUUAUAUCGUUCAUAACGGUUGUCAGCAAGCUCUUAAAACAAUUUUUAGAUUUCUUUGUCUUCUUUGGUUUGCAGUUUUCUUCCUAGUUUUUCUAAUGGAGUAUUGGUCGCCGUAUACUGCACUAAUUAUUUUUGGAUUAUGGCUAUCCAACUAUGACUCUGGUAUAACAUUACUUAUUUGGAUUUCUUUUGCCUCUCAAUCUACUAUGUAAAAUGGCUUGUUGCUGCUUUGAGUUAUGGCUGUUUGUGCCUUUUAUUGAUGUUGCAACAUUUAAACCAGCCAUUGGUUUCAAUAGUGUACUAGUUGUUGAUUGCAAUAGUUUUUCUUCUAAUCACACUUUUGCCCCCUCAAUCUCAAAUCAUUUUAUUUGUAAACCUUUUUCUUUUUCCUAGUUUAUUGCGCUGCGUCUCUCCCGAGGCCGGGACCUUUUAUCAUGACUUCUGCUCGUUGCAGCGGGUGCUGGAUUCAUUUUGAUCAGUCCGGAUGGGCACGAGCUCACCAGCUAGCGCGCAACGGCUUUUCAGCCGUUGUUGCUUGCUGCUUGCAGGCUCGAAAAUCUCUCUUUCGCCUCUCCUCCCUGUUUCGGAUUUGAUCCUAUCUUUUGUGCCUUUAAGCCUAAUAGAAGUUCUCGCACUUACAAAAUAGAGGCACAGAAGGAAGACUUAAGUCGUCUUCGGCAAGAAUCAGAGAACAGAGCGAGUCUACAAAUUGUUGGAGGACAACAAAAAAAAAAGAAAAGUGUCAACAACUUGAGUCCUCAAUGAUUUUUUGGGCUCUAAGCCUCCUAAGACGGAUUGCUCUUCUAGCCGGAACUCAAGUCCAGAUCCAAGGUUCAGUGAUGGUUCAAAACCAAGAGCUGGCCUUUGGUUUUUAGCCCACCUUCAAGUGCCAGACCCGAGUGAACUCACCCCUACUAAGAUAAAUGGAAGUCACGCACUAGAUUCCUUUUUUCGGAAGAAAAGAAAGAAGCAAGAACCAGGGGCUCCCCUUUGAAGGUGGAGCUUCGCGGGGAUCGUACGUCAGCCAAGGCCUUAGACCGGAGCGCGUCCCUCGGGUACCCCGAAAGGGGGAGCUCAAAAAGGAUCCCGGUAUAUCUAGAAAACUCGCGGGGGUACAGUAAUUGGGCAAAUCCUCAUAGGUAACUUCGAAUGUACUCCAGAUCCUAUUGAAACUUGUAAUAAAAACAAUCUUCUUUUGGGAUAGCCUAAGGGUAUUAAUGGCACAAAAAUAAUCUCUCUCCUUUAACUUGCAUUUUCUAAUAUUAUUUUUAAGCAUAAGAGCUUAUAUUAUUUAGAUAGAGUGUUAUUUGAAAUAUAAUUUGGAAUAAUUACGAUAAUAUUUUUUGUGAUGUGAUGUAUGUGAGAUAAAAAGGUGAUUGAAAAUAUAAAAAAGUGAAUUGAAAAAUGUGAUUAUGAUACAAGCGAAAUAUUAUUUAAAAAAAUUUGAUAUCCAAACAAAUCCAUUGUUAACCAAAUGUUAAUUCAAAGGGAGGUAAGUGAGAUUUUGUAAACGUCGGGGUAGCUAAGUGAUAGUUACAGAAAUAUUGUAACAAGUAACAUACCUUAUGAGGCUUAUCCCUAUAAUUACAUAUUUUUAGAUAAAGAAAAAUAUCUUUCUUAUCUCAUAUGAUAAGGGAAAAAAUAUCAGUGCAAAACUAAACUAUGAAAAUAUUAUUAAAGGUCUAUUAAUGUGUUUGUUUGAAUUGGAGAUUAUUUGGAAAUUUUUUUUUUAGAAUAAUAGUACUUUUUAAAAUUUGAUAUUUGUGAGAUAAAAAAGUAGUUAAAAAAUAAAAAAGAUUAUUAAAAAACGUAUUUAGAUGCAAUAAAAAGUUUUAGAAAAAUUUAGCAAUCCAAAUAAAUUUUAAUAGCAUCUACACAUGGUAUAUUAAAAGAACAACUCUAGAAACUUUAAAUUCCAAAUCAAACAUGUUUCUCUUUUUUAAGUAUUACCAACAAAAAAAAUGUAUACCUCUAUAUAAAAAAGUAUCUAGCUACUAAAAGAAAAGUUUAGCCACGUGUACAUUCUCAAAGAGAAAUUGACAAUAUUUUGGUCAUUUUUUAAGUUUUAAAAAUAUUGUCACAUUUUAGUUUUUUAAUAACAAUUUUUCUUUCUUUUAAAUUUCUUUCUUUUUUCCCAUUAUUAAGUCAAAUUAGCAAGAUAUUCUUCUCAAUCUAAAAGAAGUACAUUUAUGGAAUGAAAUUUAACUAGAACCAUAUAUAUAUAAUCAUUAUUAGUUAUUAUUAUGUUAGGAAUAUUGAUUUUUUAGAUAUUAAUUGUCAUAAGUGUUAUCAAAUAUUGGAAUUCACUAAUGAUUUUAGUAACAAACAAACAAAUUUAAAAAAAUGAUGUUAAGGAAUAAAACACAAAACAAGCUAUACUUGGGAUUUAUGUAGAGGUAUAAAUGUCUUUUUGAUGUCACUAUUACACAACAUUAGAGUUGAUUAAUGGUUUAGGGGAUAAAAUGAGAAAAAAAUAACGUUACGGAACAAAGUGCAAAAGUGGCUAUACCUCAGGCCUCAGGGAGAGCUAGUGAAGCCAAUCGCAAAUAACACACACACCCAACCCAUAAGCAAAACUCACAGCCCAACACCAAUGACUUUUAACCACUCCGCAAUUCCUUUUCUCUCGAAAAGACCAACAACAAAUAACACACACCCAACUCAUAAGCGAAACCCACAGCCCAACCCAAAAAAUAUGCUGACUGUCAGGCCACACUGAGGAACUUAUGAGCUACGCACACACACCACUCACAAUCGAUGUGGUCCAAGAAACUAUUAAAAGUACAAAAGAUACAAACAGACAAACAAAUAAAAAAGUGCCUGACACCAAAAACGACACUUCCAUGCUUGGCCUGCCGCACUAUUGAAAAACGUGGGGCACUUUCAUUCCACACUCUUCUUGCUAAAAGGGCUUCUAGUACUUCAGUCAAGUGAAAGAAUUCCAUCCUGUUUUCUUCAAGGAAAUCAUGUAUAGACUAAAGGGUUGCCGGGAAUUGAGGAAGAGAGCUCCUCAAAUUGCUCUCAAUUGGUUCAGCACGUUCAGUUUUUCUAGGUAAUGUUAAUGUUUUUAUUGGGAUUUUGCUGAGGCUUUUUGCGUGUUUGAUUUUGUUGAAUUUUGUGACGAAGGUUUUCCGAGGAUCUUUUCAUCUCUGUGAAUCUGUGAUUGUGAUUUGUUUUUUGAAAUUUGAUCAGACUUCAAAUGCAUAAUUAGAGCUAUAAAUUGUUUUUGAUAAUUUUAUUCGUCAUUAGAGGUGAUCAGAUUAUUAUCCGCCUGGCAUAAUUGCACUGAGCACUACUAUGUAAAAGGAGGCCCAAAUUAGUGAAAUGAAGAUACUUGAAGAAGCAAAGUUUUGAGUAGGCAUAAUUGAAUUCCAAAACCAUGUUCUAGCUUGCGAUUCAAUUUGCUUGCAUGGGCUUCCUCUUUCUUUUUCAUUGUUUAAUUGCCAAGAACAUCUACUUUAACCUUAGAUAACUUUUUUCAUGCUAUCUUCAUUGGUGAUGCUUGACGUCUUGGUUGUUGCAUGCUUGUCUAGUUGCAGCAUUCCUCUUGAUCUCCAUGCGAAAUAAUAUCUACUAUAAGCCAGUAAAAAUGUGAUUUUGUCAGCUUUGAACUAUGAUGAUGUAGAUUUAGAUCUUUGGGGAAACAUGAUGAGAUUCGGGUUCUAUAGUUUUAAGAAAUGUUAGCUCGUUGAAGUACAAUUUGGUGAAACCGGAAUAGUAUUCAGAUAAGGUGAUGCAUGGCUAAUGUUAGCUGUCUUGGUCUUGUAGCUGCAUUUAGUAAGUGUGAGUAACUCAGUUUGCUAAGUUUUUCUAUGCUGUUGCACAAGUUAUAGCUUAAUGUUGUUGUGCAUCACUAGUGCUAGCUUACUGUUCUAGUAUUGCUGCAUUUGAAGUUGCAAAACACAAUUGUCUGUGAAGAUGAUGUUAGUUAUGAUGCUUUAGUUUUAGAUUUUACGGGUAAAAAGGACUUUGGUUUGGUUGUGAAACAAGUUUGUGCCAUGACGUAUAGUUUAAUGAAAAUUACUCAGACAAGAUGAUGCGUUAAUGAAUGUAUUGUUCCUUAUUGCUCUAAUUGCAAGUGAAACUGUGGUAACUUUACCAGUUUUUCUCAGUGGUUUUUCAUUGGGAGUCUGACCAUUAACUUUUGCAAAGUGCAGAUCAACCCACUCUGUAUCUUUUGACCCCAUAAUUACAGCUGAAGAUAUAUCCGGUUCAAAACCUGCAGCAGUACAGAACUUGGGUAAGUAACACUGGUUUACCAACUUGUAAUACUGAAAACUUGUAAAAUACGUCUUAUCUCAUGAUUUGAAACAGUUAAUGUAGACGUAUAAGUUGUUGCUUGUGUAUUCUUGUGUUCCCCUCGAAUGAUUCUGUAGGCUGAUAAAGGGUCUAUAAUCUCUUGCAAGAUAAAAUGUCCUGAAGAAGGAUGUUGUCCUCUUUAGUGCAGGGUAACUGGACCAGACCUUCUAAUUGGACUACCAUAGUAGAUCCAUUGAAUGGAGAGCCCUUCAUCAGUGUCUUUGAAGUGGAUGAAAGAGGGUUACAGGUUUGCAACACGUAAUUGUACUAGAUCAACAUUCUGCAGUCUGUUCAAAUUGAAAAUUUGUUUGUUAGUAAUAGCUAUAUACCCUGUGAAAAAUCUUUGCCCUGCUUUUUACCUUUCACUGAUAAAACUGGGAUGCUUCUUCUAUUCCUACACUUGUUUUUUUUUUAACUCUUUGAGAUACAAUUUUUCAUGAAUGUAAAGUUGGCAUGACCAAUUGUUACAGUGCCAAGCAACAUUCUUUGCCUAAUUUGCUUAUGACUGGACAUCUGUCACAAGAGUCUCAUGCUGUCCGAUGCUUUUGCAGCCAUAUAUAGAGAGCUUGCACAAGUGCCCUAAACAUGGUCUGCAUAAUCCAUUUAAGUCACCAGAGAGGUGUGAGUUCCUAAAGUUCAUUUUUUUUUAACCUGCCUUCCUCAGAACACGGCCCCCUUUUAUUGCUAUUCCUAUUCCUUCUCUUGUUUGGCUUAUUCGACAUCGAAUAAAUAAUAUGUCAUACUAAUCUCCGUACUGGAAGUUAGUUUGGUAAUGUUUUAUUCACUUGUAAGAAAGUCAAAAAGAUGUUAAGAGAAGUGUUUAUUUCAGGUAUCUUAUGUUGGGGGACAUAUCUGCAAAAGCAGCUCACUUGCUCUCUCUGCCCAAGGUAUUAAAUUAUGGAGACAAAAAUGUUAUGCUGUUAACUGAUCAUCUUAUCAAAUGUUUGGCUUUCUGGAUCUUAAUUUGUUUUGUUACAUAUUGUCUUAGAUAUCUGACUUCUUCACUAAGUUAAUUCAAAGGGUGUCUCCAAAAAGUUAUCAGCAGGCUUACGGUGAGGUUUACGUUACACAGAAGUUUCUGGAAAACUUUUCAGGUGAUCAGGUACUGGAGUUGUUUAACACCGCAGCUUGUUUGUUUCUAUUAUUUUUCUAGCCUAUAAAUAAUAAUUGGUUUUAGCUAUUUUGAUUUGACUGUGAAGUAUUUUCAAUGUCCAGUUGGUAACUAGAUUGGCCUGAUAAAAGAUCAUAAUUUGUUGAGUAAUUUAUUUUCUUGCAAUUAUUUAGCCUGUGUGUGUGUGUGUGUCUAUAUCUUUUCAAUAUGUUUUUAUGAGUACAGUCGUGAUGCAUAUUUUCUGUAACUGAAUAAAUAAAUUGGUCUUCAAAUGUUUUUAUUAAGCUACUUCUGUGUCUGACUUCAUUUAGUACUUUCAAUUUUGUAUCCUUUUCUUUUCUUUUUUUUUUUGAGCCAAUUUUGUAUCUUAUAUUCCAUCUGUGCACAUUGACAGGUUCGUUUCCUUGCAAGGUCUUUUGCUGUACCUGGAAAUCAUCUUGGUCAGCAAAGCCAUGGCUUUCGAUGGCCUUAUGGUCCUGUAAGAUACUUAUUACAGGCUCUUUAUUCUGAUGUGUGGGAUGGAUAAUAAAUAGUAUGCAGAAGUCACAUUUAGUGACACCAAAAUUGAUGUCUUUCAAUUAACGAGCAGAUGGUUCACCUAAUCUUCAAAAUAAAUAGAUUAUGGUUACAUUCCAUACACCUGAAGUUGAAUGUUUUAGCUAAGUUAAAGACAACUAAUUAAUUAGGUGCCUUCGGUAGACUAUGAGUGGGCCCAAAGUUUUGUUGUAAUUUUUCUGUUUUAAAGAUAUGCAUUCGAUUGCUGGAGUAUGAGUUGCAGGUAACCUUAUUAAGUGCAAGUUUGGACUAUGGUGUUUCUUGCUAGAAGUACUUCCAUCUAAAAUGUGCUUCUGAAUGUCUUCAAUUGUUUGGAGACAUUUUUCUGAUAAGAGAAAGAGGUGAGCUUAAAAAGCCUCUCCCGGAUCUUGAUCCAAAAGUUACAAUGCAGCAAAUUGAGUGCCUAAACUUCUGCAUUUGAACAUCAUAUGCUCUAUAGCUAACAGAUGAUAUCCUCUUGUGCUAGAAGAGCUAUUUAGUUACUGUAUUUAGAAUAUUGCCUGUUAAGGACAUGGGUAGGUAUUAACCAUGAUAAUUUGAUGUAGCUGACAUAUAUUAGCAAGUCCAUAGGAAUGUAGGACAUAGGACUGAAGCAGAAUAGCAGUAAAGAUGAAUAACUUCACUUUAUGAAAUGAUGAUUGUACAAGAAUAUUCAAAUAAAAUUAAUUAGGCCUUUGGACUCAUCUCUUUGAUCAAUAGUAAUCUGAAUCUUCAAUGGCUGAAGAAACCUUGUAUCUGUGCAAUGUAUCUAUGAAUUUGAAGCAGCCAAUCCCUAUAUUUCAUGGAUACUGAUCAUUCUUGCUUUUCCUUAAUGAUUUUUCCUUAAUGAUUAAGUAUUUAUUUCAGGAUUUUUGGUUGAAAUCUUGUGAAAUAAUUUUGCAGGUGGCAAUAAUUACUCCAUUCAAUUUCCCAUUAGAGAUCCCCGUCCUUCAGUUGAUGGGUGCACUCUAUAUGGGAAACAAACCAGUUCUCAAAGUUGAUAGCAAGGUAGGUAUUUGAAAAGGCAAACUAAUUAAUGAGUCUAACCUUAUAGUCAAGUCUGGAGGACUGGCCAAGCAUAUUGAUUCUCCAUCUUGCCGAACAAAUCAGAGAAGUUAUUUGAAUGGUUCAGCAACCUUGUACCGGAAAUUAAAUGUUACAGACAAUUAGUUUGAUUAAAGGUGUCACUUUUAUGGGACUUCUUCCUCUUGUAUUCCUGCUAUACCUUUUCUUUUUUUAAUCUAGUCAUCUUCUCUUUCACAUAAAUGCUUGGGCAGGGUGUACUCUGCCGCAUGCAAACACAAACAUAUAUGUUAAGAAUGCUUCCAUAGGCUGGUUCAUAUAGAUUUUGAACGAUUAUGAUCAUUGGUUGUGUUCCAUAGGUCUCCAUUGUUAUGGAAAAAAUGCUGCGACUUCUCCACGAGUGUGGUUUACCUAGGGAGGAUGUUGACUUCAUAAAUUGUGAUGGAAAUACCAUGACCAAGCUACUUCUUGAGGUAAGUUUAUCUAAAUGUGUCUUCAUGACUAAAAUUGCUUGGAUAUUGCCUCCUCACCAUGGAAUUUUCUCUUCUACCAUCUGCUGCCAAAUUUAAGUUCAGUCAUUUCUCCCAAAAACUUUUUGGUUUGAAUUUACAUGAUCACAAAUUAUCUGCUAUAGUUCUUUUCUUGUUGAUGGACCAAAUUGGUACAAUUCUGUGCUGAGAAUAGCGUUUUUAGUCUUUAGCAGACAUAAACUCAUGCAGCUCCUAUUCUUCAUUUUUUCUGCAUAAUGAUUUUGUUUUUAGGGAUUAUUCCCUAUAAUGCCUUAGUUCACAAGAAAAGCAGAAAUAGGGUAAAAAGAGAUUAAUCUACAGUAUCAUAAAAGGCAAUUCUUCUUCCAAACUACUUCAGGCAAAACCACGCAUGACUCUGUUCACUGGUAGCUCGAGGAUAGCUGAAAAAUUAGCUGUCGACUUAAAAGGUCGUAUCAAAUUGGAGGAUGCUGGGUUUGACUGGAAGAUCCUUGGGCCUGAUGUUCAGGAGGUUUGUGAAAGCUUACAGCAUUCAAAAGUUUGACAUUUUCUAUAUGAAUAAUCACGUUGAAAUUCACACCAAAUAUUAACUAAGCUAUAUCGGUAGGUGGAUUAUGUUGCCUGGGUCUGUGAUCAUGAUGCUUAUGCAUGUAGCGGUCAGAAGUGUUCAGCUCAAUCAAUUCUUUUCAUGCAUGAGGUCAGCAACAUCUGCCUGAUGUUUUAAAUUUUCAUUGUUUGAUAUUGAUAUGCUGUAUUAUAAUAUAGCUGAUGAUUAACAAUAUUUUAUGCAUUAAAACAUUGUUAUGCUGGUGCAGAAUUGGGGUAGAAGUCCGCUCCUGGAUACAAUUAAAAAACAUGCUGCAAGAAGGCAGCUAGAUGACCUCACUGUUGGCCCUGUCCUUACAGUAAGGGCAAUGACUUGCUUUCUUGUGCUAAAUUGCCUCCAGAGUGAAAAUGACUCUGGAAGAUUCUGCAACUUUUAUUAUUAAUAGUUGUGUUUAUUUUUUAUUAUUUAGAUAACAAGUUGACCAAACAUGACCUGAUUGCUGUGUGUUCCUGGAAAUCCAUUGAAUUCUGAUUUUGCUGAAGAUGCACCUACCACACAUGAAAGGAAUGAGGAAUAGUUCAAAUUCUCUAUUGUUAGAUUUCAGUUUACCAGUUGCAAAACAGUUUUCCCGAACUAUACCAUAUUAUUCUGAAUUCCAUGUCAUUCAGCAACUGAACUUGCUCAUUUCUUUUUCUGGGUCAAAGAUACUUCUGUUCUAUGUCUAGUUGAAUUGCUUCAUUUGACCAAUGAGCGACUGGCGGGUUUUCUAGGCUUUCUAGCACCUGGCCUCUAUGCAUGCUUGUUGGGAGAAUUAACUUUGGACUUACCUGGUCCUCCUAAUGUAUGUCAGCAGGAGGAGGGAAUGAAACAGAUUAGCAUUUAGGUUCCACAAGCUUUUUGUAGCCACUUAAUUGAGGAACUUUUGAGUUCUUUAAGAUUUCAACUUGGGUUUGUGUGACAUUUCCAUGCUCCACAUAAUAUCUUACCUGUGCUAUUGAAGUUAUAUGGGAGAAUAGGUAUGACUACAUAUACAGUGAGUUACUUAUGUCAUGGAAGAAAGACCAUGGCCCUUGUCUAGCUGUCUUCCUUUUCCAUACCCUCGAAGACCUAUUUGUCAUUAAACAUCUCAACUCGCUAUCAGGUUGAUGAUUCACACUAAAUGAUGAACUAAGUUAUCUAAAUGGAGCGCCAUGGACCAGUUAGUGAUGGCUUCAAGCACCAUCCAGGGAGUUUAUGAGCCAUUGUUAAAUGUCAUCAUCUCAUUUCCUUUUAUUCUUUGCAGGUUAAUACAGAAGCAUUGUUGCUUCACAAGAACAAAUUGCUUAAGAUACCAGGAUCAAAGUUACUUUUUGGUGGUAAAGCAUUAACAAACCAUUCUAUUCCUGCAAUAUAUGGAGCAAUUGAACCAACUGCAGUGUUUGUUCCUCUUGAGGAAAUACUUAAGGACGACAAUUAUGAAUUGGUGACAAAAGAAAUUUUUGGUCCAUUCCAGGUAAUAAAUAUGACAAACAAAUAGCAUCUUGUACUUACCAACUAAGCUUUCUGAUUGAGAUCUGGAAAAAGUUUGAAUAUGACUUGUUCUUUUAUGUGACCGUUCCCUGUCACUGAUAGAUAUGAUCAUUUGUGUGAUAUUUUAUUUCAGAUUGUUACUGAAUACAAAGAUAAUCAGCUCCCAAUGGUAUUGAAUGCCCUUGAAAAAAUGCAUGCACAUUUAACAGCUGCAGUGGUUUCAAAUGAUGUGCUCUUCCUACAAGUAAGUUUCAACUUUUUGUUGGUUGCCUUUUUAAUGUUCAAGUUGUGUUUUCCUUUAAAAACAAAUGUCUAUCAUUAACAUCUUUGUUCCCUAUCUCAUCAACUGUUUCAUCUGUUCCACAAAAAUCAAUAUUUUUUAUUUCCUGAUUAUGCAAAUCAUGUAUGAAUUGAGAUUUCGAUACUGGGCUGCAAUGGUUGUCAACGGUAUUUUGAAGUGCUUGAUCUAAAUAGCUAAUAGCAUAGAUUUUGGUAUUGAGACAUGGGGAAAAUUACCUUUAAGCCGAGAUUUCCUCAAGUUGGACUUUAAUUGACUUCUUUCUUUUAUGACCUGGGGGAAAUGAAUAGGAACAUAAUUUAAUAAAAUUGAUGCGAGAUCGAUAUCUGAUGUAGGUUGCGCUCAAUUCUGUUAAACUUGUGUUGUCAUGGAAAUUAAUGUUUGCAAAAAGUUUGAACCCAAUGUGGUGGAUAUGGUCGGUCACACAUACUUGAGAAGAAAAUUGUCAUCCUAUGCAUUUGGACAUGUACAGAGCAUAUUUAUCCUCAUGGAAGCCAUUAUAUAAGUCAAACUCUGGACACAGGUUGGGCUUGUUAGAGUCACAUGUUUGGAAAGUUCAUAUUUUUUGGUUGGAAAAUGAAACUAGGAGAAAGAGUAGAGAAAGGUGCCUCAAGCUUGCAUAUAAACCCACAUAUUCUGUAUUUUUACUGUUCUAUCAUUGAAUCAAGGGAACAGUCUGCAUUAUGCGUUUGCUUUCAGAAUCAGUAAUGCUGAUGGGGAUUCGAUGUGUAAGGAACAAACCAAAUGUAAAUUAAACUUAUUUAGAUGUUUUAGAGUCUCCUGUAAAUAUUAUAACCCCUUGAUCAAAGAAAAAGUGCAUUUUCUUGUUAACCAAAAUGUAAAUUAAACUUGUUUGUCUGACGUAAAUAUUAUAAUCCCUUGAUCAAAGAGCAUGUGUAUUUUCUUGUUAACCUAAAUUUGAUGAGAAAUGGAAACGGUCAAAAGUUACAAAUAGGUGUUUCGGGUCAGCACCUUUCAUGGUGAUGUGGAUGGAUUCUGAACUUGCAGAGUGCUGCAAAAGUUGUGCUUUGGUUGACGCAAAGAGCCUGCGUUACAUGGAUUCAAGCGAAUCCUCAAAAUCAGCUGAGCAGAAGUAUCUUCAAAAUUGUUAACUAAUGGUCAAUAGGCAUAGAUAUCCCAUCAAUGUAGGACCACAAGAGUGGGAGAAAGAUUGCUGCAGUUGCACGUUUAGUCAUAAAAGCCUAGGCAUGCUUUAGAACUAUUACCGCUGAAAAAUUUUAACAGGGUCCAUUUUACUUCCAGUAGGUUGUUUCAGUCAAUUUUUACCACGUUCCUAUAAAAAUUUUUCACAUUUGUCUAUUCAAUCCCGGAAAAAUUAUGCAUUGUUAAAAGUGUCUAUCUGAAUCUUGACUAUAUAUAAUGGCGUCAAUUGCUAGGAAUAGCAUACUGAACCAACUGGAAUGCAAUUUUGUUGAAUUCCUGUUGAUCUUACAUUUGCAUAUAAAAGAUGAAUACUAUAAUAUAACCUCUAUUGCAGGAAGUGAUUGGAAAGUCUGUGAAUGGAACCACUUAUGUCGGAUUGAGAGCAAGAACCACAGGGGCUCCACAAAAUCAUUGGUAAGCGGAAACUGUACAGUGAAAUACUACAGUUGCUUAUAUGCAUUAAAGCUCCGUUCUAGUUCUUUCAUAUGCUAAAAUGGUUGCUAACUGCAGGUUUGGUCCUGCUGGAGAUCCAAGAGGGGCAGGCAUAGGGACACCGGAAGCAAUAAAGCUCGUCUGGUCUUGCCAUAGGGAAAUUAUCUAUGAUGUUGGCCCGAUAGCACGGAAUUGGCAGAUUCCUCGUUCUACUUGAGGAUCACUCUGUCUCAAAUGCCAAAUGUCGAGUAUUAGCAAGUGAUUAUGUGGUGUGGUGACCUUUUAAGACAAAAUGCAAUAGUUAUGGAGAAGAAAAAUUUUCCCUCGAGUCUUGAUCUGUUUAUUUGGCUAUGCUGGUUUGGGAAUAAAUUGCAGAAUUCAUAGAUCACACAAUGUAGUCCAGUUGUGUUUCUAUGGCUUAGAUAUGACAUAUCCUGCUGCAGUUACUUUUGACAUUUGCUUUGACCAUGUUUUCAUGCAUCAGUACCGAACACUCUUGCUUCAAAGGCAAAAAAGGGAUUUUAGAUUUUCAAGCUGAUCAGAUGUAUAGCUCGGUUCAGUUACUUGAAGCCAUAACAGAACAUCCCAAAAAAAAAAAGAGGUAAUACUUGAUGCAGGUACAUUCGAAUGAUCACCUGCAGUGAACAAACUCUCUAAUGGUGCAGCAUAUUCCUCAAGGCAAGAUACUGCAAUACGACUGACCAACUGCGCCCCAGUGCCCUCUACAUGACUCGAUUCUGACUCGAAUCCGUGAAGUUUCAAUCCAAAUUCAUUCAUUUCGUGUUAAGUUCGUGUCAUGUUUUCAAUCCAAAUUCAUUCAGAUCGUGUCGAAAAUUGUCAACCCUAUUCUAGUGCCCUCUACAUGACUAGGGCCGUGAAAGCACGAGUUUCCCUACCAACAAGCUGGCUCUCAAGCUCGUUUUUAUUAUGAUCACAAGGAUAAAUACGUGUAUUGGAACAGCCAGAAGACUCAUCUAGUGGCGGGAGAAAGGUGGCGAACAAUAACUGCCCACCAGGGUGGGAAGAUAACUCAGUGUGGCCGUGGACAUGUAGGAACAGGGGCAAAUGAAUGGUACGGCUGUUCCCGGGAUGCCAAGUACAGUAGGAGAAAAACUUUGACUUUCUUUUUUUUUUAUCAUUAAACACACCAAAAAAUCUAUAUAAAAAAAUUCGUCGUGAAUUUUCUUUCUUUUUUGUUUUUUUUUUGGUGCAAAAGAUGGACAAUCUUUCUAUCAUUCUAUAAAAAAAAAAAAAAAAAGACUUGUGGUGUUAAAUUUUGUUAUUACAUUUAUGAGUUUUCUUUUUAACCCACACAAUAAAGAUGAAAUGGCAUCAUCCUCUUAAAAAAAUAGAAAAUACAAAUCAUAAGACACUCAUAAUGAGUACAAAUCUAAUGAAGUCUCCAAUAACACCACUAACUUGAGUAAUUUGAAAAAAAAAUUUUUGCAGGCACAAAGAAUGUAGCUUUUGUUAUUUUGUUCUAGUAUUAACUACUUUUGGUACUUCCACCCAAAAUAUUUUUCCUCUAAAAACAGAAAAAAAAUAUGUAAUUCUAGUGAUUGGUAACCAGGUUAGAAUGAAAUGUCUAUUAGUUUUCCAAACAUUUGGUUUAAUCAAUAUUCAGAUGUUCAGAUAGAAUAAAAUAUAUAGUAUGUACAAGUUUGACUUAUUUGUUGUGAGUUAUAUUAUAGAAAAAAAAAUAAACAAAUUUGCACAAAAGUUAGAAAAAUAGAAAAAAGGAUAAUAAUUUUUUAAAAAACAUAACUGCAAUUAUUAGUUAUAAAAAAAAUCACAAAUAAUAGUAUACGCUCACAAAUAGUAUAAACAUUGGUGGAGUGAAGCUAUGUACGAGGAUAAAAUUACCCUUGAUUAUUUGGGUGACUCUAAGAGAAAGCUAGAAAGGACUUCCUUGUAAAAUUUAUUGAGGGGUAGAGUUCUUUGGAAAAAGAUUGGAUUGAGCAUUCCGAUAGGGAGAGGAGAGAGGGGCGCAUAGGAAUGCGUGGAAUUGAAUUGUUAAAUUUGGAAGUUUUUCUCAUUCUAUAAUAUUUAUGCAGUUUGUAGGACGAAUACACGUAGGGCACUCGUCAAGAUAUAUUUCAGGUGUCAGAUUUUUAAAAAUAUAAAAUUAAUUAGAAAAAAUAAAUAAAUACAAGAGAGAGUAGGUAAGAUUAAAUAAAAAAUAUAUAAAUGAAAGUGAAAGCAAUAAUUGUUAAUAUAUAUAUAUAUACAUUCUAGGUUAGCUGAAUGUUAGAUAUGUUAACUGAGCACUCGUUAGAAAAAAUUUAUUUAUAUAUACCAAAUCAAGAUAAAAAUUGGAAUGUUUGGUAAAUCAAUUUUUAUAUAUCAGGAUGGAAUAAAAUAUGUACAGAAUUAACUGAACUACCCUGGUUUCUUUAUUUUUAAAGAAAAAAAAGAAACGCUUUUUCUUUUUGACCAAAAAAAAUAUAAAAGAUGUAUUGUCUAUGUUAAUAUUUGUACCUACAAAAUCAAUUUUCGGUUUUUCUAUGUUAUUAGUGUAACUACGAGAAAUUUUGACAUGUUCUGUCUUUUAAAAAAUUGAUGUUCUUAUUGAAGCAAUUCAAAUUUAAUAUUAAAUUAAUUCAAAAAUAUAAAAAUAUUUUAAAGUUUUCGUGUUCAUUGCAAUAAUUUAGUAACAUGAAGAAAAUAAGUGAUAUGGAGUCUAGCAUUUUUAAAUUCUCACUAUAUCGUACUUUCAUUAUCCAUAUGAAAUUCAAAUAAGUUCUUCCACAUAUGCACAAAAGUUAAAGAUAGCAUCUUAAAGAUUUUGUUGCAUAGCCAAAAAAAUAUAUAUUUUAAAUAUACGUAAAAUGAUUUUGUUAUACAAAAUGAAAAUCAAUUAUUAAUUAAAGUCACAAUUAGAUGAGCAAAGGAUGCUUGUGUCUAGAAUUGAAGCAAGAAAACUAUAAGGCAAAAACAAAGAUUAUUCCCACUACAUACAAAGCUUAAUUUCUUAUUAGUCUUCCAUAAUUUUUGUCCUUAGGACGGUCCUCCAUCAAUAUAAUCCUCAGGCUUCUCUAUUUCUUGAAGCCAAGCAUACUUCUUUGUGACUUCUUCUUCAGU